rnacentral:lncRNA from 1 species
UUCCAAAUCAUCUGAUGCAAGUGCUCAUGAAGCCUUUGCGGCCUAGACAAGCUCCAAGAACCACCUUCUCAGUGAAGGAUUUGCUAUAUGUGCCAAGGACAAUCUACCGCAUCCUCACCAAAACCCUCAGUCCAAUCAAAGGCCGCAACUCAAAAGAAGAAGUUGUUGGCAUCAUGAAGAAUCUGCUUUUCAACAUCAUACAUGGGAUUCCCAUUAACUAUCAUGAUUUCUUCAUGAUCACUUUGGCCAAUGUUGCAUUGUCGUUGUUUGAGUUGAAGCUCUAUGCUCCUUGGAUUAUGAAAUUCAUCAGAACCAGGUCUUCAAUUCACUACAAGGCGGAUUUUUGGAAUCACCUCAGCUUUUUGCCACCCAUUGAAGUCCUCAAAAGGACUAUUUCUUCAGUUGAUGAAAAAGGCAAAGAUGUUGUUAUUGAUGAAGGCACUCGUCCAUUGGAUGGUCAGUUUCGCAAAGCUGCAUCGUAUUCCACCAAUGAUGACUCGGCUACUCAAGAUUUUGCCAAAGCCAACGAGCAAAAUCCUCAAGCCACCGCGCCACGCGUGAUGACUGAUCGUGAGCUUAUUCUAAGUCUUCAUCAGAAAGUCGAUCGCAAUCACAAGUGGGUCAAGCUCAAUUUGGCUCAAUUCUUCAAAACAUGACUGUCAUGCAAAACACUGUGAAGAAGAAUCACUAUUAUGCGCAUGAAAUAUUUGAUCACACUUGGGCUAUUCUUUCUCAUCUCUAAAGUGCCAAAGACCUCAAGAAGAUGGACUUUCAGCAGAACUUUGACUAGGCUCAACCUCCCUCAAAGAAAUUUAAGAUGGUCAAAGUUCCUUAGCUGGUCACAAGUUCAUACUCUUCAUCGUGCGAGAUGGAUGAAGCUAAGGAUCUCGAUGACACUACGGCUGGCCCUGCUUCAACAACCGACCCCAACAACACUAGCGCUCCUCCAUCGACAUCAUGAUGAUAUUCUUCAGGGGCGUUAGUCCUCAUUUUUCGCCCCUUUUGGUCAUUCAACGACAAAGGGAGAGAAAUUUGAGUUAGUCUUCACGCGAGUCUUAUAUAUGGGCUGUUUUUUUUGUUAAGUUACAACGCUCGCUCUUCUGAAGUGUUUGUUGGUUGAGUUGUAAACUUAAGUCCGAUGGUGGUCUGGUACUUUUGAACUGCUUUCUGCAUGCCUAUUUCCUCAAGUACCUUAAUGCACGCAUGCUGAAUUUCGUCAGACACCAUACUUCAUCAUGCAUUUCAAAUUCUUCAUAUUAUAUGUUAAAUGCGUGUAUUGAUUACAAGAUAUAGGGGGAGAUCUCCAUGAUAUUACUCUACAAUGUGCAUUUGCAAUCCAAAGCAAAUUCCUCAAUAUGCACAUCUUCAGGGGGAGUUCUUCUAUAUCUUGCAUUCAAAUUCCUCAAUGUCAGUAUUUACUCUUCAUAUGUUUAUCCCCGUUGAAAACUUAACCUAUUUGUCAUCAAUCACAAAAAAGGGGGAGAUUGUAAGUGCAUCUAGUGCCCCUUAGUGAUUUUGGUGUAUUGAAGACUUAUAGGUUAAGGGACUAAUGUGUUUGUGAGUGUACACAGGUUCUAUAAGUCUUUGAGGAGUUUGAUAUUUACGAAGAAAGUCGACCCCUAAAAAUGAAUGUCUUCAGUUGAAGACUUUGGUUUGCUUGAAGACUUUGAAAAUGAGGAAAUUGGUGUGACCUUGAAUACUUUGAUAUUGAUGCGAGGAUUAUGAAGUGUGAAGACUUUUGUUUGUAGUUUCAUUUUAUCUUUCUUGAGUCAUAGGAAACACCAUACUAUUAAAGGGGGUCGAGGUAAAACUAAGAAAAAGUUUCCAAGUGAUGCUCAUCUCAAAUCCUACACCUACCCAAUCCUUUGAGUGAAGCCUUUAGAAAUCUUAUAUAGUUCAGUCAAUUUCUUCAGUGACAGAGAUGAAGAUCUUCUAUUCUCUAAGGAAUUUUUUCUGUCUGAGGAGUUAGGAAUUCGCCAGUGUGGAUUGCCUACAAGUGUGGAACAUGAUAGCCCUGAGGAAUUUGAGAGCUCAAAUUUCCGACCGUUGUUAUGGUACGCGCCAGCCGUCCCAAAUAUCUAAUCCACCUAACGGUCAUAUCAUUGAAGGACAUUUAUGUCUUAUCAUGUCGGGCUACUCCCCCGCUAUAAAUAGCCACCCCCUACAAGCACUAGUUGGUUGGCUGCUCCGAGAGAUAGAUUGACACUUGACAUUUAGAGCAUCCCAUCCUCCGAGGACUUUGAGCAAACAUCAUCAGUGAGGAAAAACCCAAAACCCCAGCACCUAAAACCCAAAGUGAUUGAGCAUCACUCAAGAGAUUGUUCCUGUGUGGAACCGACACUUGUUAUCGUUGAAUAUUGUGCAUCUUCCAGGCGGUUAGGCGUCAUGGUCUAGAGCAGCCAAGAGGAAUUAUGGAUCACUGAGUGAAAAAGUCUGUGAAGGUUUGGAAGUCACAUGUGAAGACUUACCACGAGUGAUUGGGCGAGGUCUGUGUGACCUUGGCUCAAGGAGAAUAUAGUAAGGAAUGUGUGUACUUUGAUUUAAAUACCAAGCUCCUCCAACUAGAUGUACAACUGUCACAGCAGUUGGAACUGGUCUACCAAAUCAUUGUCUUCACCGAGCUACUUGUUCUAUUUCCUCAACCCAUUCAUUUCCUCAUUCACGUGUUGAUGAAAUUGAUUGUUACUAUUUGAAGAUUUUCUCAAUUUCCUCAAUCAUUUUCUUCAGUCAUCUUGUCUUCUACGUGCUUAUCCUAUUUACACGCUACCUGUGCUCUGUGUAUGUUUCAUUUCAGCAUGAUGACCAUGCUUCUGUCUUGUUAUGCAUGCACCUGAGUACUUAUUCCGCUGCUUGUAGUUCGUCACUUAGCAAAUUCCUCUCGUAUUUCCUCAGUGAUGAAUUUGUAAAAAUCACCUAUUCACCCCCCUCUAGUCGAUAUAACGCACUUACAAGAAACAAACAACAGAAAGAAGUAAUUGAGAGGAAGAGAGAUGUCAUGGUCGCUAAUCACACCUUCGAACAACCAGUUGCGUAGGACUCCAAGAGAUAGAACUGGAGAAGGAGGGAUCUUGUAGAAGGGAGGAUGACAAAGGAAAGGAGGACACUGUUGAUCCACGCUUGCAUGCCACGUCGUGCAUCGCGGGCUCAUGCGCAUCCUCUUUCGUCGGUGUACGCCACGCGUGCGUCCACCUCCCCGGUGAUGGCGGCAGCUCCCAUGAACCUCUAGCCAGCAAGGACCGAUCCAGUGUGCCCUCACCUACAGUCUGCAGUAGUCAGGCAAACAGUGGAGCAUUCAUUGAUGUUGCAAGGAACUCCGGUCGAACAGGCGACACUCUCAGCGAGGUUAAGGGGUGUGUGCGGCCGCGAUUUUAGAGCUCUGCAAGCUCUGACUGAAAUUUUCACUACCAUUAUUAGUCUAAGAAAUGCUAGUGGGCAAAGAUAAUAAGAUAAUUUUUGAAUUCCAUACUACUACCAAGAGGAAAACAUCGUAUGGCAAGUUCUCUCUGCACAUGUGAAAUCAAAAGACAUAUGUGCUGUUUACAUGACGUAUGUACUAUAUUAUAUUUCAUCAUUCAAGUAGUUGCUCCCAGAAAGCAAGCCAUCCAAAUUUGCACUAUUCCAACCAGCCAGAUAAGAACCCAUACAGAUUUGCAAAAAGAUUGGUCCAAAACAGAACAUGCCAAUUGAACAUGUGAUACGGGGCUAACCCGGUGUAGGCUGAUCUUUCACGUUUGGAGUGGGAUCCCUCGAAGAACACGAAGAACACGGGGAAGAACGGGGAGAAAUCACAAGGGGAAACACUCAAGAACAAGUCCAAUCACACAUCCACUAGACAAUCAAACACACAAGAUCCACAAGGUACAUGAACAACAAAGGGAAAGAUACAAGGUAAGGUUCAUCUCCAAGAGGAGGUCUUGAUGGUAUCCUAGACGGAUCAUCCCACGAGGGGAAUCUUGAUGAUAUCCUGCAGGAUCUUCUCACAGGGAGGUCUUGAACUCCAUGGGAGUGGUCUCUCUCUCUCAAGAGGAGGAGGUAGGAGCAAAGCUCACCUAAGAAUGAGCUAUCAUAUUUGCUUCCCCUAACUAGGAGGAGGGGUGGUCUAUAUAUAGUCCAAGCCACAAAGGGGUAAGUGAGGAGGGGAUACAUGGGCCUUUGGCUCGGCUAUGCACGCGCAGGUGCCGGAUGUCCGGGCUGGGGGCCGGAUGUCCGGGGCUUCAGGAGGCGCCGGAUGUCCGGGGCUUCAGGAGGCGCCGGAUGUCCAGGGCUCGGACCAGAUGUCCGGCCAUUUGAUGGUUGUAGCUUCUGUACUCGUUGCCGGAUUUCCGGGAGGGGUGCCGGAUGCCGGGCUUUGCUGAGUUGUCGGAUGUCCGGCCGCUGAUGCUCUAGUGCGUCUUUUGGUGCAGGUCCUGCGUAGCCGCACAGGCACUGGAUGUCCGGCCCUUGGCUCGGAUGUCCGGUCGCUGUAGCUUCAGCAGCAUCAUCUUCUUCCGUUGUCGCUUCCAUGCUUCCCUCGCGGAUGGUGUAGUUGUUCCUUGGCGCUUGCACUCCUCUUCGUCGUCCGUGAAGCUCCGACAAUACCUUAGCAGGCACACGAGUGGAGUGUCAAGUAGUAUACCAUUCUCGAAGGGGCCAAGUGAACACGUGUAAAGAAGAAGAUUCACCUUUAUGUAUGAGAAGUAGAGGUCGCAUGUGUCACUUGCCAAACGGACUCUUGACAUGGUGAUGACCGUAGGAUGCUCUACAUCAUCCCCUCCCCCUUGGAAAAGAUCCGACCUCGAAUCAAAAACCAAAUCACCAUGGGAAAGAUAUGGCGGUGCCAUGUCGAAGUGGUUGAUCACAAAGCACUCAUCGCCUAGUAGCUCGAAAUGGGCACUCUCCAAUGUCAUACCGUCUUGUGAUUCUUCAAAAGGAGCAAAUAGAGCAAACACUUGGAAAAACAAAUGUGGUUAGCGUUAGUGCAAAACCAAGCAAUAAAGAGGUGAUUCACCAAACAAGUGUUGUCAUCAAGCAUAGCAUAGGGUGUGACAAAGGAUUGUGACAUGGCAUGUAAGCAUAUCAAUCAAGCACAAGCAAAGAUAUCAUGGGGACAAGUAUGCAAAUGUGAGGUAGAGAUGAAAAUAUGUGUGACAAGAGAAUAAGCAUCUACCUCAAGAUCAUAGCAAACAUGCAUAAAGCGCUGGACGAAUGGUCGAUGGUAGGCAUAGGAAUCAUUCACAACACCAAAUAAGAUGAGAUGUCUAAACACAUGGGUCAAGUGCAAGACAAUCCAAGCAUAAUGUGCAUAGGGUGUAUUGAAUAUAGUGUGGCACUCAACACAAUAGAAAGAGCAAUUGUCCAUCAUGUGUGAGGCAAUCAAGUGAAUCAUGUGACAAGCAAAGGGACAUGGCAUAUGUGAAGAAAUGAUAUUGGUGCAACCAACCAUAUGAUAGUAGGAAGUAGUCCAAGAAUUGGAUGCAACACACAAGGUAUAUAUGUCAUGAGGCAUGAAAAUGCGAAAAUGGCAAGUCGAGGCAAGAUCUCUAACAUGUGUGCAAUCAAGUGGUCCAAGAUGACCAAUAAGCUUCAUGGUGCAAGCAACACAAGUAGUAUGAUUCUCAAUAUCCAUGCUCAAGAAGGAUGUCACCUUGAAAGCGUGUCCUUGUGCAUUCUUCACAAUGCCGAAGUGGUAGGAAAUGUGGUGUAGAAGCGAGUCGUGGUAGAAUAUAUGAGGCUCGCUCGCAAGAUCUUGGAUGGUCAACUCACGUGAAGUGGAAGUCGACACAAAGUCCAAGUAUCCUACACAUGCAUACAACAAAACAAAGAAUGUAUGUGCAUGGUAGAUAAACACAUCAUCCAUCAUGAUAGUUCUCAUUGAGGGAGUCCUGGAUUAGGGGGUAUCCGAACAGCCGGACUGUGUACAACGUCCAGACUAUUGAAACAUGAAGAUACAAGACUCAAGACUUUGGCCCGUGUCCGGAUGGGACUCUCCUUUGCAUGGAAGGUAAGCUUGGCGAUCCGGAUAUUGUGUUUCCUUCCUUGUAACCGACUCCAUGUAAAUCCUAGCCCUCUCCGGUGUCUAUAUAAACCGGAGAGGUUGGUCCUUAGAAGGCCGAUCACAAUUACAAUCAUACCAUCUUAGGGUAGCUCCUAGGGUUUAGCCUCUAUGAUCUCGUGGUAGAUCUACUCUUGUACUACCCAUAUCAUCAAUAUUAAUCAAGAAGGAAGUAGGGUUUUACCUCCAUCGAGAGGGCCCAAACCUGGGUAAACAUUUGUGUCCCUUGCUUCCUGUUACCAUCAGCCUUGACGCACAGAUCGGGACCCCCUACCCGAGAUCCGUUGGUUUUGACACCAACAUUGGUGCUUUCAUUGAGAGUUCCUCUAUGACGUCGCCACAAGGCUCGAUGGCUCCUCCAAUCACGGCAACACGGUCCAGGGUGAGACUUUCCUCCCCAGAUAGAUCUUUGUGUUCGGCGGCUUCGCACUGCGGGCCAAUUCACUUGGCCAUCUGGAGCAGAUCGACAGCUACGCCCCUGGCCACCAAAUCAGGUUCGGAAACCUGAACUACACCGCGGACAUCCGUGGAGACUUGAUCUCCGAUGGAUUCGGGCCCGCGCCAGGAGCACCGGAUAGUCACGGCGAGCAUGGCCUAGAUCUGCUGUCGGACAACGCUCGGGAUAUCAUCCUUGUAGUAGCCCCGGACUCAAAUCCGGAGCAGGCUGCAUUGCCUAGGGGCGGAGGGAUGGACCCCGCCCCGCAGGCCGUACCCUCAUCAGCGGUGUAGCCGAACACAAGCCUCGCUUCUGAGGAUGCCCGUGACUCCAGAUCCCCGGAUUCAUAUCUGGUUGUAGGAUCUAGUCUGCGCGUUCCCGAGCCCGCCGAACCUGGUUGGGCUCCGGUAAUGGAGUUCACCGCUGCGGACACCUUUCAGCACUCGCCCUUUUGUGGCAUGUUGAACUCAUUAAAGUCUCUCUCUUUGACAGGAGGCUUUCGGCCGAACUAUGUCCGGCUCGAGUGGAAAGCAGGCAACGACGAGAUUCGCUGCCCACCCACCACCCACUUCAUAGCCACGGUUGACGAUUUAACCGACGUGCUUGACUUCGACUCCGAAGCCAUCGACGGUAUGGACGACGAUGUAGGAGAGGAUUCAGAACCUAGGGGGCGCCGGACUUCCGCCUCGUCACACGACAUAUACAUGGUGGAUACGCCCAAGGAGGACGACAGUGACAAUCCGGAAGAUAAAAUCCCCGGGCAAAAGCCAAAGCGACGGCGCAGACGCCGUUCCAAGUCCAGCAACAGUAAAAAUACCAGCAAGAGCGCCAGAAGGAUCGAUACUCCGAUCAACCCCGAAGGCAACAACGACCAUACGGAACCAGCAAUGGAGCAGGACGAACAAGGUCACGCCGAACACAGUUCGGAGCAUACGCCCGAAGACAAUGAUCCAGAGGGACGAGUUCAUCAAACCGCCCCAGGACAAGAGGACAGUCCGGAUGAUGACGCAUUCAUCAUUCCGGAAGAAUGCAGGGAACGAGAUAACCUCCACAGAAAGCUUAUGGCCACAGCGAGGAGUCUGAAGAAGCAGAAGCAACGGCUUAAAGUUGCACAGGAAACGCUCAAUCGCAGAUGGAACAAAGUGCUUGACACUGAAGAAAGAUAUGGCGACGAUCGCCAUACAAAGAGCUACCCAAAAUGUAAGCUACUGCCAGAAUUCGACAACGAGGCCGUUCCACCAAAGAGUAACAUGACCAGAAGACCAGACGUACCACUCCACAACCGCAGCAAAGCAGCUACAGACGUCGCGCACGACCUAUGUGAGCACGUGGAUAAGAAAGCUGGCGCAGCUAGGUCCAUCUACGGAUCUAAAGGACACACCCCGGCGAGGGACUAUGGUCACCACAACGAUUACACCAACCAAAUACCAGUUCAAAAUAAACACCAAACACAACAACAGUCGACGGCAUGCUACAAUACGUCCAGAUACAGAGGGGCCGCCCACCCCCUGUGCUUUACUGAUGAAGUACUGGACCACGAAUUUCCACAGGGCUUUAAACCUGUGAACAUAGAGGCAUACGACGGAACAACGGACCCAGGGGUCUAGAUAGAGGAUUUUAUCCUACAUAUACAUAUGGCUCGCGGGGAUGACCUCCACGCCAUCAAAUACCUUCCCCUCAAACUAAAGGGACCAACUAGACACUGGUUGAAAAGCCUCCCUGAAAAUUCAAUUGGGAGUUGGGAAGAACUCGAAGAUGCCUUCAGGGCCAAUUUUCAAGGGACUUAUGUCCGGCCUCCGGAUGCUAACGAUUUAAGUCACAUAGUCCAACAUCCCGUAGAGUCCGCCCGCAAGCUUUGGAAUAGAUUCCUCACUAAAAAGAAUCAAAUUAUUGAUUGCCCGGAUGCCGAAGCCUUAGCGGCAUUCAAACACAGCAUCCGUGACGAGUGGCUCGCCAGACACCUUGGCCAAGAAAAGCCAAGGACAAUGGCAGCCCUAACAAGCCUUAUGACCCGCUUUUGCAUGGGAGAAGAUAGCUGACUAGCCCGUAAAGGCACCAGCGACCCCAGCACAUCCGAAAUAAGGGAUGGCAACGGGAAGCCACGGCGUAAUAAAAAUAAAUGCCAAAACAAGGAAGAGAGCCCGGAUAACACAACGGAUGCCGGAUUCAGGGGCUCUCAACCUAAUCAGCAAAAUAAGCCAUCUAAAGGCAGUAAAGAGGGACCAUCUGGACUGAAUAGGGUCCUAGACAGAUUGUGCCAAAUCCAUGGCACCCCUGACAAGCCUGCAAACCACACGCAUAGAGAGUGCUGGGUCUUCAAGUAGGCCGGCAAAUUGAAUGCCGAACACAAGGGAAGGGAAAAACCAAGUGAGGACGAGGAUGAACCUCGCCAGCCGAACACUGCGGGACAGAAAAAAAUUCCCGCCAGAGGUUAAAACAGUAAACAUGAUCCGUGCGACUCAUACAUCCAUGAGAGGGCACAAACGCGCGCAUAGAGACGCGCAUGAUAUAGAGCCCACACCUAACUACUGGAUGUCUUAUCCGAUCACUUUCGAUCACUUAGACGGUCGGACUAGUAUUCGGCGCGGCGGAUCAGAGGCCUUGGUGCUCGACCCAAUGAUUGACGGAUACCGUCUCACCCAGGUCCUCAUGGACGGCGACAGUAGUUUCAAUUUGAUAUACGAGGACACUGUCCGCAGGAUGGGGAUAAACCCAUCCAGAAUCAGCCAAAACAACACCACCUUUGAAGGGGUGAUACUAGGCAUCGAAGCCUACAGCAGGGGCUCCAUCAUACUGGAGGUAACCUUCGGCUCUCCAGGCAACUCCAGAAGUGAAGAACUACUCUUCAUCAUCGCACCCUUCCAAAGCGACUACCACGCAGUGCUCGGAAGAACGGCCUUCGCCCGCUUCAACGUAUUACGCACUAUGGCUACCUUACACUUAAGAUGCCCGGUCCACGUGGCGUCAUCACCGUUAGUGGAAUAAUAGAGCGCUCGUCACACGCAGAGGAACACGCGACGGCCCUCGCGGCCGGACUAUAAGAGACCUCCAACAUAAAAAAAACAUGACCGGUCGUUAAGACCAUGGACACGGUUAGACAUGUCCGGUAGCCCAGAUCGAACUAGGCCACCGUAUAUGUAAUCCUAUAGCGGAUAGCAGGGGCUAUAACUACCCAAUACAGCCCCACACUUGGCUCAACCUUAUUGGCAGGCCAACGCUUACACUUUUACUAUCCAUCGCGUACUAACGUUGUAACCUCCUAUGAGUUUUCUUUUUUCACAUACAACGUUGGCGCGAUACCCUUCUAGGAUACGGCACAACGGAGACAAAGGCGCAGACGUGCAGCAGGGCCCCGUUCAACAGGUUUCUCUUUAGAUUAAGCCCAUGUGUAAACCUUUUCUAUUGCCUCUUGUUGUUUAACCAUCCCAUGGGUUCCAUACCCACAGAGGAUACUGUGGUUUUUGGCAUUUCGCCACGACAGAUUAACGCACGUACCUGGAAACACAUGGUUUAUAAUGAAUGAGCAUUCUUGAGCCCAUCAUCUGUUAUAAAGUCCGAAUACCUUCGGGAGUGUUCAGCAUCACGAGUUUGGCCGUAUAUGCAUCAGCUCCGAAUCAUGUCUUUGGUCAAAUGUUGGGUUAGCCCGACUCCUGGGUUUGCCGCCUUACGUUCCGUUAUUAUCGGCUAAGGCGGCCAAAGGAGAACUACUGCGAUUGUGCCCUGGUUAUUCCGGACGAGCACCUCAGUAGAGAAAGCCGAAAACUGACUGUCAUGAUACAGCGAGAGACUGAUCAACCACUCGAAGACUCACCAGAAUCUUUCGGAUUCCUCCGCAUUAACGAAGGGCCAUUUCCAGGCCAUGUACAUGCGCGCCCGUAUUCGGAUGCACACAAAAGUACCAGGGGCUACAUAGUAGCCCCAAUGUUAGACUCCCACGGCUAAGCGUAAGUGUUACAGCUAUAUAGUCUGGUUGCCUAGUUCGAAGUGCAAUCACCUCCUUAAUGGACCAAGACGUUGGAUCAAGUGUGAUUAAGCAUAUUUCUUCUCGAACACCCCCGCAUUGUAUGCAUGGGGGCUGAAGCCAACGACUGCUAACUUUCGGAUUACAUAUUUAUAUAUACAUAUAUAUAAACGGCCGCACAGGGGACAUAAUCAUAUUUUCAGGCAAAUAGUAUAAAAUAGCCUCAUAAUCAAUAUAAACAUUGUUUUUACAAUGAUUUCGUUCAUCAUUCGAACAAGACAUUCUUUGAGCACUGCGCCUCUAUUAGACGGGCACCUUCUGUGACCUGCGCCAAGUAAUGCUCGACCGUAUAUUGGCCCCCCACCGGAUCCUGGGCCGCUAUAAUGAUGGCAUCCAUAUCCGUCCAAUAGGCUUUAAUGCGGGCGAGAGCCAUCCGUGCACCCUCUAUACACGCCGACCUCCUCAUGGCAUCGAUCUGAGGCACGACCCCAAGGAAUUGUUGCACCAAACCAAAGUAACUGUCCGGCUUAGGCCCCUUUGGCCAAAGAUGGUCUAUUAUAGACCGCAUUGCAAGCCCGGACAGCCUGUGAAGCUCCGCUACAGCAGCCAUCUUGUCACUUAACGGCAGCGGGCGAGUGGGAGCAUGGAAUUGCGACCAGAAAAGCUUCUCCACUUCCUUGUCACCUUGACCUUUGAAGAAGUCGCCAGCGUCAGCCGUACUCUUCGCCAAAUCCGCAUAUGCGUCCGCAGGACUCCAGCGUCCAUCCAGGGGAGCGUACUUCGGAUCAAAAAAAUUCGUCCGCAACAAAUAGGAGCCCCUAGCCGCGAUUUCACCGGCCUAUCGAAGCUCCUCCCGUGCACCCCUGAGCUCGGUGAGGAUUUCCUUGGUGGCAUUCAGCGCCUUGUUUAGUUCGGCCGAAUUAUCCUCAUGUUCCUUUUUAAGGAGCUCAUACCGGUCAGCGGCAUCUUUUAACUCAAUAGCCAUUUCGGCUAUCUUUUCCUCGCUUCGGCAAUGAGCAGCCAGUUCGGCCCUCAAUUCCUCGGCCGCCUUUAGGGCAGCCGCAUUGCUCACCCGAGCUUGUUCCUUGGCUUGAGCAAGUUCCGCCAUCAGGGCCUCCACGGCACCAGCACCAUCUGCAGUCAAAACAUAUUACAUCAAUAUCAUGCCACCUUCAUAUUUUCCUAAACAAGGGAAGGCAUGACACAUACCUUGUGAUUUGUCCAGCCGCUCAUUCACCAGCGUGAUAUCGGCAUCAAUCGACCCAAUCUACCUCGUUAGUUCAGCAACUUCAACGGACUGGCCGGUGUUCGGACCCAUAGGUACCUGCACAUAUUUACAGCACAAUCAUUAGUUUAUGAUCCCCCGUUUGCCGCCCAGGGCGGGCAACUAGAGUCUCAGGGGCUACUAUCUAUAUGGAGCACACCUAGCACGUGCUUCACAGCCAAAGAAAUAGUGUAUUCUUCAUUACAUACCUUAAAGCCUCUGAGCAGGCUUGUGAAUGCUUCAUUCAAACCGCCUGUAGCGGAUGAAAUCUUCUUGAGCCCCGCGCUCAUUAAUGAACGGUGCUCCUCCGAGAGCACAGCCCGCUCCAGUAAGCCCGUCAGUACGUCCGGCCGGACAUUGAACUGCGCCUUACUCUUCCCAUCGCCCCCCGUGCGAGCCAAACGCUCCGGAUUCAGGGCGGCUGACGUAUUGGCUUCCGACUUCAGAAGAUCCGGACUCCUCCAUGACGACACCUCGGUGUCGCCCGCUUCAUGAGUCGGAGAGGCGGGUGGGGUCUCGCUUUCCAUCAUCUCCGGAGGAAGGUCCCCCGAAGACGAACCCUAUUGAGGAGAGCUGCUGGCCGGACUGCAAAAAGAUGAAUCCUGGUUAUUGAUCUAGGAUAAACACAAUACCCUCGGAUUGUAAAUUGACUUACAGCUCGGUGGAGGGCUGGCCCGUUGGAGGGCAUGAUGCGGUGAGGGUGCCCGUCACGACAAGGCCCCCUGGGGAUGUCUUUUUCCCUGCUUUGGGCAUCUCCGCCUCCAAGUCUUCGGAGGCAGCCCUCUUCUUCCCACGCGGGGAGGAGGCCUUAGCCUCCCUUUCCCGACUAUCCUCCUUAGGGGAGGUAACAAUUCCCCCGGUUCAGAUGCGUAGCGUGUGGGGUUCAGUGUAUUCAUCCUUCCCCUUGUCUUUCCCCGAGGGAAUCCUGCUGAGUAGCCGGUCGAGCAUCUUGGCCAUGGUGGGACCAGGCGAACCUUUGGGAAGUGGCGCCGGACACCUGAUUCUCUCCACCUUGCUGAGCCAUUCCUGGCCACGGAUGAUUUUCGGAAUAAAACAACUAUGACAAACUCAAAACAAGGUGUCCGGUGUCAAGAUUACUUACUUGGGUAUCUAGGCGAUUGCAGCUUAGGCCCGCAUCCUCGGUGGUGUCCGGACACUCUACUUUCUAUCCGAAGAAUAAUUUACACAUCUCCUCGAGCUUCAAGCCGAAGAAGUGCUUGACAGUCCGCAGACCCUCCGGAUUGAACUCCCACAUUCGGUGAGGCCGGCGUUGGCACGGCAACAUCCGUCGGAUUAGCAUCACUUGUAUUAUGCUGACAAGGUUAAUGCCCCUCUCAAGAAGCUCCUGGAUGCGAUUCUACAGUACUGGUACAUCACCGGCGGGCCCCCAAUUCCGCCCUAUGUCAGUCCAAGACGCUAGCUGUGAUGGGGGGCCCGAGCGGAACUCGGGAGCGGCCACCCACUUCGUGCCUCUGGGAGCCGUGACAUAAAACCACCUCCGUUGCCAUACAUCGGAUACUUCCGGGAAAGAACCCUCAGGCCACGGGGCAUCAGUGUUCCUGCUUAUUACGGUGCCUCCGCACUCCGCGUGUCGCCCCUCGAUCAUCUUCAGCUUUACAAUGAAGGUCUUAAGCCAUAAACCGAAGUGUGGGGUGACAUGGAGAAAAGCCUCGCACACGAUGAUGAACGACGAGAUAUGGAGGAUGGCGUCUGGAGCCAGAUCAUGAAAAUCCAACCCGUAAUAGAACAUGAGCCCCCUCACAAAGGGGUCGAGGGUGAAGCCCAAGCCGCGGAGGAAGUGUGGGACAAAAACGGCACACUCAUUAGGCUCCGGUGUGGGGAUGACUUGCCCUGGAGCAGGAAGCCUGUGCUGAAUAUCGGCGGUCAGGUAUCCGACCUCCCUAAGCCUCGCAAUGUGUUCCUUUUGAAUCGAGGAGGCCACCCAUCGGCCCUGAGGGGCGGAUCCGGACAUAUUGGAGGAUCUGGGGUGUCGAAGCUUGAGUUUCGGGUGUUAGAACUUGAGAUACGAGGAGGCGCGAGGAAGGUGGAAAAGAGGCAUAGGCCUCGACCCCUUUAUAAAGAGGGUGGAUAUCAAGAGUUCUCGGUGUGACUGUUUGAGGCUUAUCAAAAAACACAUGGAGUUAUACCAACGGCCGUCGUGGGGUCACGCACGCCCAUAUUAAUGGAAAAUCCCGUAAUAAGAGGAACACGAUCUCUGCCUCGACGGGACGUGCCAAUAAAACCGCCUCGUAACACGAGUCGUUGUGGGGUAAGAAACGCCGGUUCAUGUUGGACCAGGCCAUGAUGCACGGGCACGACGCACGAAGAUUGCCAGCAGAUCAGAUUUAUGCCAUGUAAAGAUCAUCUUGCAGAUCCGGACACAGUCUAUGUGUUCGAUAAUUACUUUGGAGUAUUCGGAGAAGGAACCCGCCUUGCAAUGCCGAAGACAAUACUGCAUGCUGGACUCAUCGUCAUUGAAGCCUAGUUCAGGGGCUACUGAGGGAGUCCUGGAUUAGGGGGUAUCCGGACAGCCGGACUGUGUACAAUGUCUGGACUAUUGAAGCGUGAAGAUACAAGACUCAAGACUUCGGCCCGUGUCCGGAUGGGACUCUCCUUUGCGUGGAAGGCAAGCUUGGCGAUCCGGAUAGUGUGUUUCCUUCCUUGUAACCGACUCCAUGUAAACCCUAGCCCUCUCCGGUGUCUAUAUAAACCGGAGAGGUUGGUCCUUAGAAGGCCGAUCACAAUUACAAUCAUACCAUCAUAGGCUAGCUCCUAGGGUUUAGCCUCUACGACCUCGUGGUAGAUCUACUCUUGUACUACCCAUAUCAUCAAUAUUAAUCAAGAAGGAAGUAGGGUUUUACCUCCAUCGAGAGGGCCCGAACCUGGGUAAACAUCUGUGUCCCUUGCUUCCUGUUACCAUCAGCCUUGACGCACAGAUCGGGACCCCCUACCCGAGAUCCGCCGGUUUUGACACCGACACUCAUCUUUUGCACAUAAGCAUUAGAAGCACAAGUGCAUGAAUAAUAUGAUGCAACAAUGGCCAUAUUGAUGGCACUAGGUAUAUGGUGCAAAGAAGUAAGACAAGCAUGCUUCACAAGUAAUAUGUCAAAAUCUCCAAAUAUAUGCGAGAAUGCUAUGGGGGCAAUCUCAUGAGCAAGACUAUAAGCAUUGUUGCACUCAAUACAUGGCAAAUCAUCUAGCAUGAGAGAGGCAACACAUGGAGAUAUAUGACAAGAAGCAAUAUGAAUCAUGUGCAAAGCAUAUAGAUGGUUGUCAUCAAUCGCAUGAACUGAGCAAGUAUGAGUCAUUGGUGAUGCAACAUAAGCAAGCAUAGUAAUCAAGUCAUGCAAACUAAUGGAGCGAAGAUGCAACACACUAGAAGAAAUCAUGGCAAUCAUGUCAUGUGAGCAAAUAAUAGGCAUAGGGAAUGCACAUGACAUAUCACAAGCACGAACACAAAGCAAGAUGAAAGUAUCAUCAUAUGAAUGGUGCACAAAAGGAACAUGGCAAGAACAAGCAAUAUUUCCACCAAGCUUGCAAAUACACAUACAAGUACUAGAAUCAAUCAUCAUAUGUAAUGCAAAGCAUCGGUCACAAAUGCAUGUCAAAGGCAUAGGAAUGAGCAUAUCAUGCAAAGUGAACAUGGCAAGAUGGGCAUAUGAUAUGUAAUGGACAAUAACCCAUCGCCAAGUGAGGGCCAUGUAAAAGAAAUGCACGAAGUAUUUGCGCGAAGAGAGCGGUGGGAAAGACAAUCCAUGGGAUCCCAAAUCAUCGUUACUCUCUAGAGCUCGUUUUGUCAACUCAUGGGAUUUUGAGGUUGACAAGUAUUCAUGGUUACCUACACAAAAGAGACACAAACCAAAGAAAUUUGCGCGUGGUAAAUGUACACAUAAUCCAUCAUGAUGUGCAUGUGCACAUGUGAGUUAGCACACGAUAAGCAUCGCUCAAAGAAAUUUGAUGCAUGGUAUAAGAACAUGUCAUCCAUCAUGAAAGAAUAGUUAUUAUGUAUGACACGAUGGGGACACAAAUUGAGAAUGCAAGUAUAUGGCACAUCAAUAGCAUUUUCAUUCAAGGGAAACAUAUGGUGCACAUAAUUAUUGGGAUCAUGCAAUGGAUGGGAUGGAUCAAAAUCUCCUAACAUGUAUGAGGAAACUAUGGGGGUCUCCUCAUGAGCAAUGUCGGAAACAUCAUAUGGAGAAAAUGGACAACAUCCAAAACAAUGCAUAUCCGAAACUAGGUGGUCAUGGCAUUGGCAUAUGAGAUAAAUGAUGCAAAGGAAGCAUACCAAUAUCAUCACAAGAAAAACAAAUGCCAAUAACCAUGGGCUUGUCAUCUAUGCCAUAUGUGCAAAUUGGGUUUAUUUUAAUGGCAUAUGCAUAGUCACUAUGAAGAGAUUGCAAAUAAGACAUAUGGUUGAUCUCAUGCAUAGCAUAUGACAAGUCAAGCGGAUUAUCAAACAUGAUGUGACCUAAAGAAUUGUCACAAGAAAUCCUAUGUAACAUGGCAUCACAACUAAUAAACUCCACAUGAGAAUCAUCAUACUCAUCAUAAAUGGGCAAAUCACCGCAUGGGGAAAUCAUACUAGCAUGAAGCAAGGUACUAGGUGGAUCAACAUCAUGCAAGCAAUAAAUGUCAAGAAUGUCCAAUAGUGGGACUAGAGCAUCACCUUCACCUAUGUUACCUUUUUCAUUCCACUCAAGUGGUGUAGGUGAGGUGGGAAAGACCGAAUGGUGGUCAUCUUCAUCUUGAUGGAACCAUGUGGGGGUGCAUCAUAUUCCACCAUGGCCAUCAUCGUGUCCAAAGGGAGGACGAAGUCAUCGAGGAUCGGCGCGUCAUCAUAAAUGGGACCUAGCACCAAAUGAGAAGACACAAUAGAGGUAGAGGUCAAGUUGUUAGAAAUGCAAAUGGCCUCAUGAGACCUAUCAACUAUCACACUCUCUCUAUGUGGUGGUUCACUCACUCCCUCAAAAUAGGUGCACUCAAAGUCGCAUAUGGUGGAGUCACUCAUCUCACUCAAGUGGUGGGGGUUGUGGCUCUCCUCACAUGGGAAUUGAGGCAACUAGUCAAAUAUGGGGCUAGUGGUGAAGUCACUCUCACUCUCAAUGUGGUGGUACAAGUCACUCAAGUCAUCAUACGUCGUCGUGGUCGAAGGGAGAAUCCCAUGCUCAACCAUCUCGUCACCAUCGCCGUGGAUGAAGGCCGAAGAUGGCACAUCAUCACUCUCCUCCAUGACCGAAGGGAAAAUCCCAUGCUCGAUCAUCUCGUCAUCGUCACCAUGGAUGAAUGCCGAAGAUGACACAUCAUCACUCUCGCCUCCUAAGAUGGAAGCAUCAUCCUUGCUCGCCACCUUGUCGCUCGCCUCCAAAGCUUGGUCCUUGAAGGUCUCCGUAGUUGUACUCGUCGCCACACUAUCUUGAAAAAGAGUCAUGGUAGACUCGGCAUCAUCAAUGCCACAAAGAGGGAUGGCGGUGAAGUCGAACUUGGGAGCAUCGUCUUGGAGCUCGUUGGGCUUGGACAUCUUGGUGGUACUAUCCUCAUGCUCGUAGUCGUAGAGCUUGGUUGCCGCGAAGUGUGCAUGGGGUGGAGAUGCCUUGGCCUUCAUGAGUUCUUGUUCUACCUUGAGAGCACCAAUGUAGUAGUCGUUGUCAGUGUCAAAACCAGCGGAUCUCGGGUAGGGGGUCCCGAACUGUGCGUCUAAGGCUAAUGGUAACAGGAGGCGGGGGACACAAUGUUUACCCAGGUUCGGGCCCUCUCGAUGGAGGUAAUACCCUACUUCCUGCUUGAUUGAUCUUGAUGAUAUGAGUAUUACAAGAGUUGAUCUACCACAAGAUCGUAGAGGGUAAACCCUAGAAGCUAGCCUAUGAUUAUGAUUAUUCUUGUCCUAUGGACUAAACCCUCCGGUUUAUAUAGACACCGGAGGGGGCUAGGGUUACAUAGAGUCGGUUACAGAGAAGGAGAUCUACAUAUCCAAAUUGCCAAGCUUGCCUUCCACGCAAAGGAGAGUCCCACCCGGACACGGGACGAAGUCUUCAAUCUUGUAUUUUCAUAGUCCAACAGUCCGGCCAAAGUAUAUAGUUCGGCUUUCCGAGGACCCCCUAAUCCAGGACUCCCUCAGUAGCCACUGAACCAGGCUUCAAUGAUGAUGAGUCCGGCACGCAGAUUGUCUUCGGCAUUGCAAGGCAGGUUCCUUCUCCGAAUACUCCAUAGAAGAUUUUGGACACAAGUCCUCGAGUGGUUGACCAGUCUCUCGCUUUAUCAUGACAGUCAAUUUUCGGCUUUCUCUACUGAGGUGCUCAUCCAGGUGAACCAGGGCACAAUCGUAGUAGUUCUCGUGGUGCCGCCUUAACCGAUAGAAUGGAACGUAAGGUAGCAAAACACGGGAGCCUGGCAAGCCCAACUAUUGACCAAAGACAUGAUUCGGAGCUGAUGCAUAUAAGGCCAAACUCGCGACGCCGAACACUCCCGAAGGUAUUCGGACUUUAAAACAUAUACUUGGCUGAGUAUCACCCUCGAUAAUGAGCCCCGCAUAUCCAGGUAUGUGCAUUGAUCUGGCGUGACAAAAUGCCAAUAACGCCAGUAACCCUCUCGGUCAUUUUAAGUGCCUGGAGGGUGUGAAGCAACAAGAGACAAUAAAAAAGUUUACACAGGGUCUUAAUUUGAAAAGAAACCUUUGAACGGGGCCCUGCUACAUGUCUGCGCCUUUGUAUCCGUUGUGCCGUAUCCUGAAAGGGUGUAGCACGAUGAUCAUCUGUAAAAAGGAGAAAACCCAGGUAAAAGAAUCUGGUGUGAUCGUGCGAAAAGUUGGUUAUUCUUAGUGAAUCAUAAAAAUACAAUCUAUUAUUGUAUUAAUAGGGUCAAGUUGAACUAUGGGCCUUUUUACAUGCGGGCAUCCCCUAGCACCACCUAUGGGGGUAUAUCCAUCGACCCGAGCUCAGGUCUAUCUGAGCUGCCACAACUAGUGGUCCGCCGUACACGUCUAACCGUGUCCCUGGUCUUGACGACCAAUCAUUUAUCCUGCUUGCAGAGGCCGUUUAGUGGUUCGGCUUCUAGAGCCGCCACAUAUUCUUCCGCACGUAAGGAACGCUCUGUAUUUCCGCUAAUUGUGAUGACGCCACGUGGACCGGGCAUCUUAAGGUUAAGAUAAGCGUAAUGCGGAACUGCAUUGAAACGAGCGAAGGCCGUUUUUCCCAGUAGGGCAUGGUAGCCGCUUCGGAAUGGAGCGAUGUCGAAGAUUAGUUCUUCACUUCGGAAGUUGUCAGGAGAGCCGAAUACAACAUCUAAUGUUAGAGAGCCCGUACAACGGGCCUCUACGCCUGGUAUUACUCCUUUAAAGGUAGUACUGCUUUGGCUGAUUCUUGACGAGUAUAUCCCCAUUUUGCGGACAGUGUCCUAAUAUAUCAGAUUAAGGCUACUUCCUCCGUCCAUAAGGACUCGGGUGAGAUGGUAUCCGUUAAUUAUUGGGUCGAGCACCAAGGCAGCCGAACCUCCAUGUCGAAUACUAGUUGGGUGAUCCUUGCGAUCGAAAGUGAUCGGGCAGGCCGACCAUUGGUUGAAUUUGGGGGCGACAGGUUCAACGGCAUAUAUGUCUCGGAGUGCGCGUUUGCGCCUCCUCUUCGGUAUGUGAGUUGCGUAAAUCAUGUUCACUGUUUUGACCUCUGGUGGAAAGUUUUUAUGUCCCCCAGUGUUCAGCUAGCGAGGCUCAUCCUCGUCUUCACUUGACGUCUCCCUCCCCUUGUGUUCGGCGUUUAGCUUGCCGGCCUGCUUGAAGACCCAGCAUUCUCUGUUGGUGUGAUUUGCAGGUUUCUCAGGGGCGCCAUGGAUCUGACAUAAUCUGUCCAGAAUUUUGCUUAGGCUAGACGGUCCAUCUUUGCUGCCUUUAAAUGGCUUUUUCCAUUGACCGGGUCGAGAGCCCCUGAAUCCGGCGUUUACCGCCGUGUUUUCUGGGUUGUCUUCAUUGUUUUGACGCUUGUUUUUUUUGCAUCGCGGCUUCCCAUUGCCGUCCCUGAUUUCGGAUGCGCCUGGGUCACUGGUGCCACUGCGGGCCAACCAACUGUCCUCGCCCGUGCAAAAGCGGGUCAUAAGGCUUGUUAGGGCUGCCAUUGUCCUUGGCUUUUCCUGGCCUAGGUGUCUGGCAAGCCAUUCGUCCCGGAUACUAUGCUUGAAAGCCGCUAAGGCUUCGACAUCCGGACAGUCGAUGAUUUGAUUUUUCUUCGUGAGAAAUAUGUUCCAAAGCUUACGAGCUGACUCUCCGAGUUGUUGGAUUAUGUGACUUAAAUCGUCCGCAUCCGGAGGCCGGACAUAGGUCCCUUGAAAAUUAGCCCUAAAAGCGUCCUCAAGUUCCUCCCAACUUCCAAUUGAGUUUUCGGGGAGGCUUUUCAACCAGUGCCGAGCUGGUCCUUUCAACUUGAGGGGCAGGUAUUUGAUGGCGUGGAGAUCAUCUCCGCGAGCCAUGUGGAUGUGAAGAAUAAAGUCCUCAAUCCAGACCAUAGGGUCUGUCGUUCCGUCGUAUGCCUCUAUAUUUACGGCUUUAAACCCCUCUAGAAAUUCAUGAUCCAGCACCUCAUCGGUGAAGCACAAGGGGUGUGUAGCACCCCUGUAUUUGGAUGUGUCAUGGCAUGCUGUCAACGGUUGUUGUGUUCGGUGUUGAUUCCGAGCUGGUAUUCGAUCAGUAUGAUCGUUUUGGUGGUUGUGAUCCUGCGCUGGAGCACGCUUCCUAGAUCCAUAGAUGGACCUGGUCAUACCGGCUUUUUUUGUCCAGGUGCUCACGUAAAUCGUGUGCUGACUUGUGUGCGGUGUCAUGAGCCGCCCUGUCGCGGCCACGGGGUGGUCAGUCCGGCGGAUUGGCCGUUUUAUUUUUCGGCGGAAUGGGCUCUAUAGCUUCGUCGUCGAAUUCGGACAGCAGCUUGCAUUUUGGGUAGCUCUUUGUGUGGCGAUCGCCACCGUAUUUUCUUCAGUGUCGAGCACUUUGUUCCAUCUGCAGUUGAGCGUCUCCUACGCGGCCUUAAGCCUUUGCUUCUGCUUCUUCAAGCUUCUCGCGGUGGCGAUAAGCCUUCUUUGGAGGUUCUCUUGUUCCACUUGCCUUUCUGGGAUGAUGAGUGCAUCAUCGUCCGGACUGUUCUCCUCUCCGGAGAUAGGUUUAUGAGUUUUAUCUCCGCCAUCGCUAUGAUCGGAUAGCGGCUCCGGACUAUGUUUGUCGUCCCUUGGCUCAUCCUGCUCCAUUGCUGGGUCAAUAGGAUCGUCGUUGCCUUUGGAGUCAACCAGGGUGUUAUUCUUUCUUGCGUUGUUAUCGCUGUUUUUACUGUGGCGGGAUUUAGAGCGGCGCCAACGUCGUCGCUUUGGUUGCUUCUCAAGAGGAUUAUCCUCAGUUGCAUCCUUCCGUUCCUCGCCCUUGUUUUCUUGGGGUGUGUACACCAUAUAUAUGUCAUAUGAUGAGGUGGUUGUCCAGUGCCCUGUGGGCGGUGGUUCCUGUUCUUCUGCUGCAUCAUCGUCCAUAUCGUCGAUGUCUUCGGAGUCAAAAUCAAGCAUGUCGAUUAAGUCGUCGAUAGUGGCUAUUAAGUGGGUGGUGGGUGGGGAAUGAAUUUCUUUGUCGCCCACUUCCCACUCGAGCCGGACAUAGUUCGGCCAAGAGUCUCCUAACAGGGAGAGAGACUUCAAUGAAUUUAGCACGUCACCCAAGGGCGAGUGCUGAAAGAUAUCUGCGGAGGUAAACUCCAUGAUCGGUGCCCGAUCAGAUUCGAUAGGCACGGAUGCACGCGGUUCGGAGCCUAUGGCCGGAGACGAGUCCGAGGGUCCGAUGACACAAAUCUCUUUUGAGGUGAAGUCUGUGUUCGGCUCUAGUGCCGAUGAGUGUGCAGCCUCUGUGGCGGGGUCUAUCCACCCGCCCUCGGAUGGCGCGAUCUGCUCUGGAUCUAAGUCCAGGGCAGCUGCAGGUGCGUUCUCCUGGAUGUUGUCCGAUGACAGAUCUAAGUCAUGUUCAUCAUGAUUGUACGGCGCGCCUAUCAUGGGCUCAAAUCCGUCGAAGAUCAAGUCUCUGUGGAUGUCGACAGUGUAGUUCAAGCUUCCAAACCUGACCUGAUGGCCAGGGGAGUAGCUAUCGAUCUGCUCCAGAUGGCCAAGCGAGUUGGCCCGCAGUACAAAGUUGCCAAAUACGAAGAUCUGUCCGGGAAGGAAAACCUCGCCCUGGAUCGCAUCAUCGCAGAUGAUUGAAGGAGCCAUCAGGCCUUAUCGUGACGACACAGUGGAACUCUCAAUGAAAGCACCAAUGUUGGUGUCAAAAUCAGUAGAUCAUGGGUAGGGGGUCCCGAACUGUGCGUCUAAGGCUAAUGGUAACAGGAGGCGGGGGACACAAUGUUUACCCAAGUUCGGGCCCUCUCGAUGGAGGUAAUACCCUACUUCCUGCUUGAUUGAUCUUGAUGAUAUGAGUAUUACAAGAGUUGAUCUACCACGAGAUCGUAGAGGCUAAAUCCUAGAAGCUAGCCUAUGAUUAUGAUUAUUCUUGUCCUACGGACUAAACCCUCCAGUUUAUAAAGACACCGGAGGGGGCUAGGGUUACACAGAGUCGGUUACAAAGAAGGAGAUCUACAUAUCUGAAUUGCCAAGCUUGCCUUCCACGCAAAGGAGAGUCCCGCCCGGACACGAGACGAAGUCUUCAAUCUUAUAUCUUCAUAGUCUAACAGUCCAGCCAAAGUAUAUAGUCCGGCUGUCCGAGGACCCCCUAAUCCAGGACUCCCUCAGUCGUCAAGGGACUUGUACUUCUCGAGGAAGAUAGUCUUGGAUAUGUCGUUGUUCAAUCCCAUCGUGAAGUGGAACUUCAUCAAAAUGGGGUCGUCCACGCCGGCUCAUCGCAAGGCAAUCUUCAUCUCCUUGAAGUACUUGUCGAUGGACUUGGAUCCUUGGAUGGUGUUCUCCAAUUGGCGUUGAAGUUGUUCCGUGUAGGUUGGAGGCACAAACUCUCGCCGCAAAGCUUUCUUCGUCUUGGACCAACUCAUGGCGUAGUACUCCGAAGGUGUGUGAAGCCACCAUGUGGAGGCAUAGUCGUGGAAGUUUCUUGUGGCGCACUUCACUUGAUCUUCGGGACGAACUUGAUGUAGCUUGGAGUAGUCGUCCAUCAAACGCUCCCACUCGAGAUACUCCUCAGGUUCUUGAGUCCCAUAGAAAGGAAUCUCAUUGUCGGUGUCGAGGUCGUAGUAGCUCGUGGAAGUCGCGGACUUGAGCUUGGGGAGCUUCUCUUGAGCGUAGUCUUGGGGUGCUUGUUGGCGAAGAUGUCGUAUGUCCGUAGGCGAAGAUGCCUUGAAGUCGCUUGGCGAAGAUGCCAAGGGAGAUGGUGAAGUCGUUGAGCGGUAGUUGGUGUUGAGCUCUUGACCUUCACGUUCUUGUUGGUGAUGGUGUCGAUGCCGAUGUGAUCUUGCCGGAGAUGGUAGCUCGAAAGCAUGUGCUCUUGAGCGUCUUCUCGAAGAUGAGGAAGACCGCUUGUAGGACUUGAUGAGGGCUUUGAUCUCCUCCAUUUGAGCUUGCAUCUUGGCGUCGGAGUUGUUUUUCAUGGCAUCGAACUUGUCGUUGUUGUUGUAGACCGAAGGUGAAAUGCCUUGCCUAUCCGUCACAAGAUUCGAGCAAAGGUGAGUAGGAAAUGAGAUAAACAAUCCCAAGUUACCGUUUCCCGAAGUUGAGGAUGUAUCCCGUUUCACUCAAUGUGAAAUGAAAGAAUAGUGGAAUUGGUACCGGACUUGUUCACUCACACCUAUAAAGUAAAGCUUAUGGUAGAGCUCGGUGAGGAUAGUGGCACAAAAAUUUGAUGCAAAAUGUUAGCAAUAGUCAAUAAUGUUGAAAGAGAUUCACAAAUUCGCAAGCGAAACAAGUAGACCAAUAGCAAUAUGUGGCACACGGAAACACACACACAGAUAGAUAAAUGGGGUCGUGCAACCAAGGAAUGAGCACAAAAUGUGGAAUCCACGGAAAACGCUCAUGUUGCACAACUCAAGAGAGACGCUAGCACGAUUGCUUAAUAGGCGGAUAUGACACUUGUGCACAACCUAUAAGAUGCAAAAUGGAUAAACUUUCUAUCCCAAGUAUGCUAUGUAUGUAUGGUUCCCGACGCUUCUCUCAAGAUGAUCCAAGAUGAUCGGAUAUGACAAUCUUAUGUGCAAUGUGGUAUGAUGCUAUGGCACUUGCUUACAAGCUUCUUUGCUCUCUUUCUUUUGCUUGAAAGCUUAUUCUUUUUUUUUUGUAUGACCACUUUUGCACAAUGCACAAACCAAGAUAGCAAUUGUGUAUACGCGGGAACAAACUUGUGACACGAGAUAUGAUACCAAGAAUAUGUACCACAAUGAUAUGGUAUGUAUGCUAUGGGAAAUAUGAUCACUAAUGUGCACAAGUAGCAUUGCCGACAAUACUCAAAAGGCUAGUCUCGAUAGGCAAGUGACGCAAAAUGGGCUAGGGGUUAUCAAUGCAAUUGCAAGGGGAAUGUACAAUGGUGUCGUUGAGGUUACCGUCCUUGGUGAUGAUGAGAGGCGGUGUUGCCGAUGUCCACCCAUUACUAGUUAGCCGAAACACCCAAGGAAACGGAAAAAAACCGCAAACUCAAAAUCUCCAAAGGCAAAUGUCAAAUGGUGUAGCGGAAAGCGGUGGUGGUUUGCACUUGGCAAUGCAGAAGUGGAAUGAUGGGCUAUACACGUGUCGGAGUUGAAGUUGCCGUCCCUAAGUAGCCGAAACACCUUAGGAGACACAAGCCACAACUCAAACAAGCUCAAACAAAAUUGGGUUAUGUUGGGUUGUCGGAAGUGUAUGGCGGGCAAGGUUAUGUGGAAAUGGUGGUGGUGGUUGAUGAAGAAGCAACCGUCCCUAAGUAGCUGAAACACCUUAGGAGACUCGAAUCACAACUCAAACAACCACAAAUGGAAUGGUGAACAAAAAGGGUUAGGUUGCAGAAGUCGGUGGUGGUGUAGCGGAUAAUGUGGUGGUAGACCUAGGAAAAGAUGCCAAAAUUACAAAAAUUUGAUGGAGUCAAAUGGUGUUGGUGGUAUUUUUGUGGGAUGGGGGAUGUCAAUAGCUUCAAAACGAGCAAAGGAACGUCAAAAUCGGAGUUCGGAUGAAUUAGUUAUGGUCAAAACAGUGAAACGGGAAAAGCUGAAAUGACAGGGACCGGACAUCCGGGGCUCCGGCCGGAUUUCUGGGACCUGAUGUCCAGAACCGCGCGCGAAAAUGUGCUCCAGGAGCCGGAUGUCCGGGCUAAUGGCCGGAUGUCCGGGAUGGCCGGAUGUCCAGGGGUCGGGUCGGAUGUCCGGGCUCCAAAUCCGAGGAAGAACUCGAGGAACUCGAUUUUGGGGCGGAAAUUGAUGAUUUUGGGGGCAAAAUUUGAUGGAUUUCGUGGAUGGAAGGUGGGGAAACUAGGGAAGAUGCUAGAUCAACUUGAAACCAAGCAAAUCCAUGGAUCAAAAUUAACAAAACAUCAUCAAACCAACAAAUCGCAAAAAAAAUUGGGGGCUAUUUUUGGUGGGGAUUUUUAGAUUUAGGACGAAAACAACAAAAUCAAGCUAGAAAACAAAGGGUAGGGGCUCCAAAAACGUGAUCAACGUGGCUCAUGAUACCAUAUGAUACGGGGCUAACCCGGUGUAGGCCAAUCUUUCACGUUUGGAGUGGGAUCCCUCGAAGAACGGGGAGAAAUCACAAGGGAAAACACCCAAGAACAAGUCUAAUCACACAUCCACUAGACAAUCAAACACACAAGAUCCACAAGGUACAUGAACAACAAAGGGAAAUAUACAAGGUAAGGUUCAUCUCCAAGAGGAGGUCUUGAUGGUAUCCUAGACGAAUCUUCCCACGAGGGAAGUCUUGAUGAUAUCCCGCAGGAUCUUCUCACAGGGAGGUCUUGAACUCCAUGGUAGUGGUCUCUCUCUCUCAAGAGGAGGAGGUAGGAGCAAAGCUCACCUAAGAAUGAGCUAUCAUAUUUGCUUCCCCUAACUAGCAGGAGGGGGUGGUCUAUAUAUAGUCCAAGCCACGAAGGGGUAAAUGAGAAGGGGAUACAUGGGCCUUUGGCCCGGCUGUGCACGCGCAGGUGCCGGGUGUCCGGGGCUUCAGGAGGCGCCGGAUGUCCGGGGCUCGGACCGGAUGUCUGGCCAUUUGAUGGCCUUAGCUUCUGUACUCGUUGCCGGAUUUCCGGGAGGGGUGUCGGAUGACCGGGCUUUGCUGAGUUGCCGGAUGUCCGGGGUUGGCGCCGGAUGUCCGGGCACUGAUGCUCUUGUGCGUCUAUUGGUGCAGGUCCUGCGUGGCCGCACAGGCACCGGAUGUCCGGCCCUUGGCCCGGAUGUCCACCUGCUGUAGCUUCAACAACAUCGUCUUCUUCCGUCGUUGCUUCCAUGCUUCCCUCGCGGAUGGUGUAGUUGUUCCUUGGCGCUUGCACUCCUCCACGUCGUCCGUGAAGCUCCGACAAUACCUAUGCAGACACACGAGUGGAGUGUCAAGUAGUAUACCAUCCUCGAAGGGGUCCAGUGAACACAUGUAAAGGAGAAGAUUCACCUUUAUGUAUGAGAAGUAGAGGUCGCACGUGUCACUUGCCAAACGGACUCUUGACAUGGUGAUGAUCGUAGGAUGCUCCGCAUCAACAUGGUUUCCUUGAGAAGAGACCAAUUCAAAUGAAAAUCAGCAAACAUGGCAUCAACGUACCACAUUGACUGCAGACUGCAAGAGAGAGCCCAUAUAAGAAAAACAAACAUGUUGCGCUGAUAUUGGUUGUUGAAGCAAUUUUUUAACAAAUUUGCAUUUUUCACGAUAAAGCAAAACAAUUGACAGCUUUGCAUGGAGGUAUUAGAGGUACACAUGACAUGCUUAGAGCAUUUGAUCAAUCAUUCUCAUGUGCCAUUAACUCCUCUUCCUGCAUCAGAGGUACACAUGACAAACUUUGAAUUUGCCGUGAAAGAAAUCUGGAACGGGUGUUAACUAAUAGUGGAUUGGAUGUGCUCCGAUAUAGAGGAAACAUGUUGUUGUGGAGGAAGAGGUUGGGGGGUCAAUACGUGCAAAGCUCGCCGCGCCGCCGCCGUCAUUGCUUGAUCUUGGCACACCGUCGCUGAUACGGUCACCGCAGGUACUCUUGUCAUUCCUCCGUUACUGUCAAGUAAAAUAUCUGACAACCGAGAGGCUCGCUAUGAUAACAAGAUGCAAAAGUAUGUGGUUCCCGCUUUGCGUCAUAAGAAGAUAGUGUGUUCUACAAAACAGAGAGGAAUCUUAAGUGUGAUGCCUAUUCCAUAUGCUACUGCAGUUGCUCCUUGGAUUGUGCCUCAGAAGGAAGUGAAGCCUACGUUCAGAACACCUUGCCAAUAUUUGUACGAAGGCCAAGUAAGAAUGAAAGUUUGAUUGCUAACAUACGACAGCAUCAACUUAAUUUUGGUUUUAGCCUAGCAACCAUACAUGCAAGCAUACAUGCAUGAGUCCUCGGAUGAAUCAAGCCUACAAGAAUGCCAUGGAAGAGAAGGAGACGUGUCCUUUUUAUUUGUGUUCUAGUUUAAUUAGUUUUUGUAGUUUCUCUUUAGUUUCUACGUACAACUUGUAACGUGAGGAGUCCUUAUUGUUUUCCUAGUCCAGGUCGGGCCUGGCCCAAUUGUUAGGCACCACCUAUAUAAGCAAGGGGUGUAGGGUUGUCUAGGUUUUAGGUUUGGAGUACGUGAAGAAAAUACUCAGAAAAGCAUCUGGACACGCCACAUCUGUAUUCCUGCAUUCCAUAAUUUUGGUUUGAUGAUUGCAUGUGUUCCGGCGACCUAGGUUACCAGGGCAUUAGUUUUGUUCGGUUCUUGAUCUUCCAGGAUCGAUCCAAUCUCUCUUUUGCUUUUCCAUCUACUUCUAAUCUCCUCUGCUAAUUACUCCGUCGUCGCCGCCGCCACUAAUCGCCAUUAGCUUAAACCCUCCAUCUAUUGUAGUACUACAACUACCACGUACACUUCUUCUUCGAAAAAUUAUUCUUCUAGCUGUUUGCGCAAGUGAAAGAUCAGGGCCACCCAAAAAUCGUCUCAAUGCUACUUGAGGCAUAUCAGUCGCAGAUCGCAAAUUUCAGUUGUCACUCACGCGAGGAUGGGGGGCGACGUCGUAGCUCGGUGAAGCGGCCGCUGAUACGUCUCCAACGUAUCUAUAAUUUUUGAUUGUUCCAUGCUAUUAUAUUAUCUGUUUUGGAUGUUUAAUAGGCAUUUAUAUGCUAUUUUAUAUUAUUUUUGGGACUGGCCUAUUAACCGAGAGCCUAGUGCCAGUUUCUGUUUUUUUGCCUAUUUUAGAGUUUCGCGAAAAAGGAAUACCAAGUGGAGUCCAAACGGAAUGAAACUUUCACGAUGAUCUUUCUUGGACCAGAAGGAAACCAGAAGACUUGGAGAUGAAGUGGGAGACGCAACGAGGUGGCCACGAGGCAAGAGGGCGCGCCCCCUACCUCGUGGUCCCCUCGUGGGUCUCCUGACCUAGCUCCUUCGCCUAUAUACUCUUAUACCCUGAAAACAUCCAGGGGAGCCACGAAACCACUUAUCCACCGCCGCAACAUUCUAUACCUAUGAGAUCCCAUCUAGGGAGCUUUUCCGGCGUCCUGCCGGAGGUGAUUCGAUCAUGGAGGGCUUCUACAUCAACACCAUUGCCUCUCCAAUGAAACGUAGUAGUUUACCACAGACCUACGGGUUCAUAGCUAGUAGCCAGAUGGCUUUUUCUCUCUCUUUGAUUCUCAAUACCAUGUUCUCCUCGAUGUUCUUGGAGAUCUAUUCGAUGUAAUAUUCUUUUGCAGUGUGUUUGCCGAGAUUCGAUGAAUUGUGGAUUUAUGAUCAUAUUAUCUAUGAAUAUUAUUUGAUUCUUCUCUGAAUUCUUAUAUGCAUGAUUUGAUAUCUUUGCAAGUCUCUUCGAAUUAUCGGUUUAGUUUGGCCUACUAGAUUGAUCUUUCUUGCAAUGGGAGAAGUGCUUAGCUUUGGGUUCAAUCUUGCGGUGUCCUUUCCCAGUGACAGUAGGGGCAGCAAGGCACGUAUUGUAUUGUUGCCAUUGAGGAUAAAAAGAUGGGGUUUUCAUCAUAUUGCUUGAGUUAAUUGCUCUACAUCAUGUCAUCUUACUUAAUGCGUUACUCUGUUCUUUAUGAACUUAAUACUCUAGAUGCAGGCAGGAGUCGAUCGCUGUGUGGAGUAAUAGUAGUAGAUGCAGAAUCAUUUCGGUCUACUUGACACGGAUGUGAUGCCUAUGUUCAUUAUCAUUGCCUUAGAUUGUCAUAACUUUGCGAUUUUCUAUCAAUUGCUUGACGGUAAUUUAUUCACCCACCGUAAUAUUUGCUAUCUUAAGAGAAGCCACUAGUGAAACCUAUGCCCGUCGGGUCUCUUUCCAUCAUAUAAGUUCUCUUUUACAUCAUACUAGUUUCCGAUCUACUAUUUUGCAAUCUUUUACUUUCCGAUCGAUAAACCAAAAAUACCAAAAAUAUUUAUUUUGUCGUUUAUCUAUCUCUAUCAGAUGUCACUUUUGCAAGUAACUGUGAAGGGAUUGCAACCCCUUUAUCACGUUGGGUGCAAGUUGUUGAUUGUUUAUGUAGGUAUUCGGUGACUUGUGCGUUGUCUCCUACUCGAUUGAUACCUUGAUUCUCAAACUAAGGGAAAUACUGACGCUACUUUGCUGCAUCACCCUUUCCUCUUCAAGGAAAAAUCCAACGCAAGCUCAAGAGGUAGCAAGAAGGAUUUCUGGCGCCGUUGCCGGGGAGAUCUACGUCAAGUCAAUCCAUACCAAGUACCCAUCGUAAACUCUUCUCUCUUGCAUUACAUUAUUCGUCAUUUGCCUCUCGUUUUCCUCUCCCCCACUUCUAAAACGAUUUUUGAAAAGAUUUGCCUUUUCUUCGCCUUCUUCCCGUAUGUCUUUUUGUUUGUGUUUCCAUGUGCCUUCUAUUUGCUUGCAUCUUUGCUUGCUAAAAAUCUAUUGAUAUGGAUCCACUUAAAGUGUUUUACUUGGAUCAUCUUUGAUCCAAUUGUGCUCGUGCUAAAACCCCAACUAGUUUAGUUGAGGGAAAAUCUUUAGAUGAGCAUGCUCAUUUUGUGCGUCAUUGUUUAUAUGAAAAAGGGAAGCUCUUAUGGAAUCAAAUAAAUAGUUUGCUAUGCUAUGCUUGGAAUCUUUGUGAAAUUUAUGAUUUUACUUGUUUUCUAAGAACCCUAAAAAACACCUUCCCUACCUAUGUGAGUUUAAUGAUAAUGAAAUCUUAUCUUCUUAUGCAAAGGGUGUUUAUAGUUACUAUGAUAUCAAACAAAUUGAAGAAUUUGUUGCUUUUAAGGGUGCUUAUGAAGUUGCUUCUUUAAUUGAAAAGUAUGAUAUUACUCUCUACAAAUCUGAAAAUUUUGACAUACUUACAUAUUGCUAUGAAAACUAUGCUCAUAAUGUCUAUGUCAAAGAAUUUAUUGAAAGAAUGACCGUUGCUUUGGAAGAAAAUAAUGAUAUGCAUGAAUAGAUAAUUAUUAUUCAGAUGAUUUGAUUGAAAUAUCCCUUGAUGAACAUGAUGCUUGCUAUUCUUGUGGCCAAGAUGCCAAUAUUUAUGGAGAUGAAUUUGCUAUAGUCCCUUAUGUUAAACAUGAGAUUGUUGCUAUUGCACCCAUACUUGAUAGUUCCUUCGAUGAAAAGCAUGAUUGCAAUGAUGUUAUUAUAAAUUCAAUUAAUGCUAAUUAUGCUAAAAAUAUGCAAAACCCUAAGCUUGGGGAUGCUAGUUUUGCUAUGUCCACUAUUUGUUGCAAUGAUCAUGAUUGGGGUGAUUCUUCUUAUGAUCUUGAAAAUUUAUUUAAGCCCCAUGAUGAAUAUGAGAUUGAUAAUAGUGUUUGCAAUAAUAUUGAAAGUGGGUUUGGAAGAGUGUCAACUUUAGAUCCCACAUAUUUGGAGAAUGUUCAAUCUUAUGAAAUUUUUGAUAAAAGUGGGUUUGGAGAGGUCAUGACUUUAGUUAAUGUUAAUCCCACUAUUUUGGAAGAGUGUCAACUUCGCAUGCAUGUGGAUCGUAUUGAGAAUAUGUGAUGUGAUAGCUAUAUUGUUGAAUUUGCUUAUGAUCCUACAUGUAAUUAUUAUGAGAGAGGAAAACAUGGUUGUAGAAAUUCUCAUGUUACUAAAUUACCUCUCUUCAUGUUGAGAUUGCUAUCGUCUCUUUCUUCUUCCUUGCAUAUGCUAGUUUUUGCUUGCCUUGAUAAUUUGUUUGCCUAUAAAAUGCCUAUGCAUAGGAAGUAUGUUAGACUUAUAUGUGUUUGUCACGUGUUUUAUGAUGCUCUCUUAGUGCUUCAAUUCUUCUCUUUUAUGUGAGCAUCAUUGAAAUUAUCAAUGCCUAGCUAAGGGCGUUAAACAAUAAUGCUUGUUGGGAGCCAACUGAUAGAGGCAAAGGUGUCCCGUCUUUCGAUGAGAUGAUGGAUUUCGCUUUGGUGGAAGUCGACUUUGACGAUCCGACUACGAACGUGCGAGGACGUCGCGCCUUAGCAAUCGCUAAACCAACUCCAAGAGGUUAUUGACCACGCCGGAGCACGAUCAACCUGACCACGAGGGUCUGUUUCCUACGAGCAAAUGAAGAACAAGCAAGAAACUAAGAUUGCAAUCUGGAUAUUGCGAAUAUAAGAUGAAAGCUUUAUUGAUCAAGGUGGGGUUCUGUGACGCCUUUGUCUGGUUGUUGAACACAAACGAAGUACGCGAAGUUGCAGCUAUGGCAAACUUUAAUCUAAACAAAACUCAAAGUCUAAACGGUGCCCUAAGGGCUGUAUAUAUGGAGGAAGAGAGGGGGAAUUUCAUGGCCCUUGGUGGAGGGGUCCGAAAUCAACCCUAUCUCUUGUUUCCCCACACAUACGGACUCUAAAAAUAGCCUAUACUUAUGUAUUUCGAAAUUACAUGGGCCUGGCCCAAUAAAAAGGUGACGCAUCACCUAUAAUAGCCUCUGGACGAAAUUUAUGAAGUGACAUCUUGUAUAUUUCGUCCAAGGCUUCAUACACUCGUUAUGGUGGAUUCAAAGACCUGAAAUCAUCACUUGUAACUUCGUUCUUGUUCCCCUUGCGCAUGCCAUCAUCUCCAUGCUUGUUCUUGCUCCAAUGUUCAUCCUUCUCCAAGCUAGGCCCUUCAUUUGUAAGCAAAACAAAUGUAUCCAAUUUAGGCAGCAUCAUAUUCUCAUGAACAUUAGAAUCAUUACCAAGAAACCAAAGUACCUGGUAAUUUAGUUGGCGUGCGCGAGCUCUAGUAAUUGGUCUAGUAUGUAUAGCAGCAGGGGCUGUGGGUGUAACAAUGGUAUUGAUGUCCUCAUCAUCCUCCCCUUCUUGAAAUGAAGUCAUCCUCGACGGAAGCUCAUCUUCCUCACCCAAAUAAGGCUUCAAAUCUGCAAUGUUAAAAGUGGGACUAACCCCAAAAUCUGUAGGCAGCUCAAGUUUAUAUGCAUUAUCAUUUAUUUUCUCUAACACCUUAAAGGGACCAUCAGCACGUGGCAUGAGCUUUGAUUUGCGCAAAUCAGGAAAUCUAUCCUUACGCAAAUGUAACCAAACAAGAUCUCCAGGUGCAAACACAACAUGUUUUCAACCCUUAUCUCCAGCAAGUUUAUAUUUGGCAUUCAUACGCUCAAUGUUUUCCUUAGUUAACUCAUGCAUUUUUAAAAUCAAUUCAGCACGUUGUUUAGCAUCAAAAUUAACCUUCUCCGAAGAUGGAAGAGGCAACAAAUCAAUAGGUGCACGAGGUAGGAAACCAUACACAACUUCAAAAGGGCACAUCUUAGUAGUAGAAUGCAAUGAACGAUUAUAAGCAAAUUCAAUAUGAGGCAAGCAUUCCUCCCACAUUUUCUUAUUACUCUUCAAAACAGCCCUAAGCAUAGUAGACAAUGUUCUAUUGACUACUUCAGUUUGUCCAUCAGUUUGGGGGUGACAAGUAGUACUAAAAAGCAGUUUAGUCCCCAACUUAGCCCAUAAACAUCUCCAAAAGUGGCUAAGAAAUUUAGUAUCACGAUCUGAAACAAUAGUAUUUGGUACACCAUGCAAGCGAAUAAUUUCACGAAAGAACAAAUCAGCAACAUUAAUAGCAUCAUCGCUUUAAUGACAUGGUAUAAAGUGUGCCAUUUUCAAGAAUCUAUCCAUGACAACAAAUAUGCUAUCCCUCCCCUUCUUUGUUCGAGGUAAACCUAAAACAAAGUCCAUAGAUAUAUCCUCCCAAGGAACACUAGGUACAGGCAAAGGCAUAUAUAAACCAUGAGGAUUGAGUCGUGACUUAGCUUUUUGACAUGUAGUGCAGCGAGCAAUAAAACGCUCAACAUCCCGUCUCAUCUUUGGCCAAAAGAAAUGUGUAGCAAGUACGUCCUCCGUCUUCUUCACGCCAAAGUGUCCCAUUAAUCCUCCUCCAUGCGCCUCCUGCAACAACAAAAGACGAACGGAGCUAGCUGGAAUGCAUAGCUUGUUAGCACGAAACACAAAUCCAUCGUUAACGACAAACUUGUUCCACAUUCUUCCUUCUUUACAAUUCUGCAUUACAUCUUUAAAAUCAGCAUCAUGCACAUAUUGAUCUUUGAUGGUCUCCAAACCAAAUAUUUUGAAGUCAAGUUGUGAAAGCAUAGUAUAGCGACGAGACAAUGCAUCAGCAAUAACAUUUUCUUUUCCCUUCUUGUGUUUAAUGACAUAAGGGAAAGUCUCAAUGAAUUCAACCCAUUUAGCAUGUCUAUGAUUCAGUUUAGCUUGACUUUUAAUAUGUUUCAAAGAUUCAUGAUCAGAAUUUAUAACAAAUUCUUUGGGCCAUAAAUAAUGUUGCCAUGUUUCUAAAGUCCGAACAAGAGCAUAUAAUUCUUUAUCAUAAGUAGAAUAAUUCAGACUAGGCCCACUCAAUUUUUCAGAAAAGUAUGCAACAGGUUUGCCAUCUUGUAAUAACACACCUCCUAAUCCAAUUCCACUAGCAUCACAUUCAAGCUCAAAAGUCUUAUUAAAAUCAAGAAGUUGGAGUAAAGGAGCAUGUGUCAACUUAUCUUUCAAUACCGUGAAGGCUUCUUCCUGUGCGGUACCCCACAGAAAAGGCACAUCUUUCUUUGUAAGCUCAUUGAGAGGUGCAGCAAUGGUGCUGAAAUCUCUCACAAAACGCCUAUAGAAUCCAGCGAUGCCAAGAAAACUCCUCACUUGUGUGAUCGUUUUGGGCUGCGGCCAACUCUCAAUAGCUUCAAUCUUGGCUUUAUCAACUUCAAUUUCCUAUGGAGUAACAACAUAGCCAAGAAAAGAUACUCGGUCGGUGCAAAAGGUGCACUUCCCAAGGUUACCAAACAAACAUGCAUCACAUAGAGCAAUAAAAAAAGCACGUAAAUGUUCCAAAUGUUCUUCCAAAGAUCUGCUAUAAAUCAAUAUGUCAUCAAAGUAAACUACCACAAAUCAUCCAAUGAAAGCACGUAAAACUUUGUUCAUUAAUCUCAUGAAAGUACUAGGUGCAUUAGUUAACCCAAAAGGCAUGACUAACCACUCAUAUAAUCCAAAACUUAGUUUUAAAUGUUGUUUUCCAUUCAUCUCCCAAUUUCAUACGAAUUUGAUGGUAUCCACUACGCAAAUCAACUUUGGAGAAUAUUACUCAAUUCAUCAAGCAUAUCAUCUAGCCUAGGAAUAGGAUGACGAUAACGAAUAGUAAUAUUAUUAAUGCCUCUACAAUCAACACACAUACAUGAUGUACCAUCCUUUUUCGGCACUAGAAUAAUAGGAACAACACAAGGACUAAGGGAUUCGCGUAUAUAACCUUUGUCGAGAAGCUCUUGUACUUGACGCAUAAUCUCCUUCGUCUCCUCUGGAUUGGUACGGUAUGGUGCACGGUUUGGCAGUGAAGCACCGGGAAUUAAGUCAAUCUGAUGCUCAAUCCCUCGAAUAGGCGGUAAUCCCGGUGGCACGUCUUGUGGAAAGACGUCAGCGAACUCCUGCAAAAUGUUAGUGAUAGCAGGAGGCAAAGAGGAAGGCACGUCCUCGAAUGAAAAUAAUGCCUCUUUGCACACAAAAGCAUAGCAAACAAAUUUGCUGAAAUCUAGCUCAUCAAUAUCAGAUUUGGUGGCAAAUAAACAUGCACUUUUCAAUUUAAUUUCAGAAGCAACACUAGAUGGUUUAUUACUAGGCUUCAUUUGUUGCUCAAAUUCUUUUGCCACAAUCUGAUUUUCACUCUUAUUCUUCUCCUGUUUUGCUUUAUUAGCUCUAUUAAUAUCAUCUUUCAAAAUGGAAUCAGGAGUCAUAGGAAGCAAAGUAAUAUUUUUAUCCUUAUGAACAAGAGUAUACUGAUUAUUUCUACCAUGGUGUACAGAAUUUUUAUCAAAUUGUCAUGGUCUACCAAGUAAUAAGGAACAUGCUUGCAUAGGUACCACAUCACAAUCAACAUAAUCAGCAUAUGUAGAGAUACUAAAAUGCACACGAACAGUAUGUGUUACCUUAACCUUGCCGCUGUUGUUGAACCAUUGGAUGCAGUAAGGAUGUGGAUGUGGUCUUGUGGUGAGAGAAAGCUCCUCCACCAUCUCCAUGCUAGCCAAGUUGUUGCAUCUCCCUCCGUCUAUGAUGACGCGCACAGAACGUUCCUUCACAACUCCCUUGGUAUGGAACAAAUUGUGCCUCUGAUUUUGCUCAGCUUGUGUGACCUGCACACUCAAAACAUGUUGAGCAACUAAACAUUCAUACCUAUCAGCGUCUUCAGGAGCCAUGUAUUGCGUCUCAUGAUCAGAAUCAUCUCCACCAUGUUCUUCACGUGUAAUAAGAGCCAAAGUCUCCUCAUCAUAGUCACUAGCGGAAUCAUAUCCACCAUCUGCGGUAGCAAUCAUCACACGCGGAGAUUUGCAUUCUCUCGCAUAAUGACCUCCUCCCUUACAACGACGACAAAUAAUAUCACUUGUGUGCCCUGUUGAUGCUAUGGAAGAACAAGAACGCUGUGCAGGCCCCGCAGGUGCGCUCUUGGCAGAUAAUGGUGGUUGUGCCUGUUUUCUUGUAUCACGACUGGAUUGGCACCUGAUGGAGGUGCUGGUGCAGUUGAAGUAGAAGAUGCACGCGGUGUCCAUGAUGAAGGACGACCUGCAGAAAAGUUAGUUCGCCCCAAUGCUUGUCGAUACUGCACUUCACGUUCAGCUUUACAAGCAAGAUGGAAUAAACGAGUGAUAUUAGUAUACUCCUUAUAGUCUAGAAUGGUCUGAAUCUCUCUAUUUAAUCCACCCAGAAAACGUGCAAGCAUAGCUUCAUUCUCCUCAACAAUACCACAUCUAAUCAUGCCAGUUUGUAAUUCCUGAUAAUAUUCUUCGACAGAAUUUUUUCCUUGUCUCAAACGCUACAAUUUUUGAAGCAAUUCACGUUGAUAAUAUGGUGGAACCCAAUGCGUACGCAUAGCAGUUUUCAAAGCAGCCCAAGUAGUUGGAAUAUGAUAUAAUCUACAAUGUUCAGACCACCAUACACAUGCAAAACUAGUGAAAGCACAAACAGCAGCAGCAACUCGUCUCUCCUCAGGAUAUUGUAAAUAUGUAAAUCGUUGUUCAGUUUCUAACUCCCAAGUAAGAUAUAUAUCAGGAACAUAUCUACCCUCAAAUGGUGGAAUAUUCAAUUUCAGUUUAGGAAUAUGGACAUCAUCUCGUACCUGAGGUGGUGGUGCGGGCCUACCAUUGCGAAUAUAUACCUGAGGUCGACCUGCUGGUGGUGGUGCUGGUGGCUGCACGUAGUUCUGAUGUUGAUCAACCUCAUCCUCAUAAUCGCCCACAUAUUCAUCAUCCUCCGCAUCAGCAGCAGUAGCCACAGAAGUAUCAACAGCCACACCAACAGUUUGGCUAGGCCGAAGAAGUACACGGCUCGCUCGGCGGAGGGCUGUUUCGCGACCUGGAGGUAAUUGCUGUUGUUGUUGUUGCAGAGGUGCGGCAGGUGCAGCCGGUGGUGGAAGACGCGCAAGCAGUUCAUUAAAUCUGUUAUCGAGCUUUGUUUUGAACGUCUUCUCCAUGCCAUCUAUCUUCUCCAUGGCCUCUUCAAAUCUGUUUAGCACAUCUUGCACCUGUCCACUCAUCAUUUGCUGAAAUUUAUCAUGCAAAUCCUUAUUCGUCAUGUUCUCCCAGUCAGUCUCGUCGGCUUGUGAUCCUGGCAUGGUUAGCAGCAAUAGAAACACAAAAGAAUAUGAUCCUACAGACUACUAACAAGAGGUGGUGGUGGGUGUCACAAAUCCGUCAAGCAAAUCUCAAAUUCUUACCAGUUCUUACCCAGCAGCAGGCGGUGAUCGGCAACCGUUGUAGUCAAAACUCUCAAAGCUUGGAUAGAGCAAUUACCAGGGAGAGUGAAAUGCACGACGUAGAUGUAUGUGGAGCUGGGAAGGUUUAUAAUAUGGUAGCAAAAAGGGUCAGCAAUAAUCAAUUCAGAGAUGCAAAGUUGAAUAAACGCUCAACGAUGGUACUGUGCUGGUCCUAGGCUAGACUGUGCUAGAGACGCGAGCCUAGAACACCAACAAAAUCACUGCGCGGCACGUAAACAAGGGAGGAGCACACUCUGAAAAAAAAAUCUCCUUUUUUCACUUUUUUUCUCUUUUUUUUUGCUCCGCAACAAUUUUUUUUUCGAAAAAGUCUACAAAUGGUCUAGAAACUGCCUAGCCAGAAUUUUCCAGACUUAGUUUUUUUUUGAGUUUGGAACUAUUUCUCUACUGCGGGUAGCACAGAAGUUGGGGAGUCCUUCUCUAUCACGACUCAGAGUAUUGCGUUAUCUGGAAAUCCAAAACAGAGUAACAAAAUACUGGACUCGGAAUAGGACUGGUGGCAGAGAUGAAUCUGGUGGAACUCGGACUGGUGGCGGAUAUAUGUUGCAGGUGGACUCGGAUUGGCGUGAUGGCGGCGGAUAUGUGGUGGCGUAUAUGGAGGAUACGGAGCGGUGGUGGUAGGUGACAGGGGGGAUGAUGAUGGUGCGGUGGCGGCGUGACAACUUAUGACCAGAACUCGAAACUCUAAAAGACUAACGCUAAGACCAGCAACUAGACACGACGAUGCAACCGCAAAUUCAACAAAGCAAAACCCUAAAAAGAUUAUGCAAAGGCUCAGAUUGGUUCGGAUAUGAUGAACUAACCCUAAUUUUUUUUGGGCUUUUUCGUGGACUGUAGGUAUGAAGAACAGAUUCGAUCUAAAGUACGAAAAACUGUAAAAUCUCACCGAGCAACCUGGAAAUCUGAUACCACUUGAUAGAGGCAAAGGUGUCCCGUCUUUCGAUGAGAUGAUGGAUUUCGCUUUGGUGGAAGUCGACUUUGAUGAUCCGACUACGAACGUGCGAGGACGUCGUGCCUUAGCAAUCGCUAAACCAACUCCGAGAGGUUAUUGACCAUGCCGGAGCACGAUCAACCUGACCACGAGGGUCUGUUUCCUGCGAGCAAACGAAGAACAAGCAAGAAACUGAGAUUGCAAUCUGGAUAUUGCGAAUAUAAGAUGAAAGCUUUAUUGAUCAAGGUGGGGUUCUGUGACGCCUUUGUCUGGUCAUUGAACACAAACGAAGUACGCGAAGUUGCAGCUAUGGCGAACUUUAAUCUAAACAAAACCCAAAGUCUAAACGGUGCCCUAAGGGCUGUAUAUAUGGAGGAAGAGAGGGGGAAUUUCUUGGCCCUUGGUGGAGGGGUCCGAAAUCAACCCUAUCUCUUGUUUCCCCACACAUACGGACUCUAAAAAUAGCCUAUACUUAUGUAUUUCGAAAUUACAUGGGCCUGGCCCAAUAAAAAGGUGACGCAACACCUAUAAUAGCCUCUCGACGAAAUUUAUGAAGUGACAUCUUGUAUAUUUCGUCCAAGGCUUCAUGCACUCGUUAUGGUGGCUUCAAAGACCUGAAAUCAUCACUUGUAACUUCGUUCUUGUUCCCCUUGCGCAUGCCAUCAUCUCCAUGCUUGUUCUUGCUCCAAUGUUCAUCCUUCUCCAAGCUAGGCCCUUCAUUUGUAAGCAAAACAAAUCUAUCCAAUUUAGGCAGCAUCAUAUUCUCAUGAACAUUAGAAUCAUUACCAAGAAACGAAAGUACCUGGUAAUUUAGUUGGCGUGCACGAGCUCUAGUAAUUGGUCCAGUAUGUAUAGCAGCAGGGGUUGUGGGUGUAACAAUGGUAUUGAUGUCCUCAUCACCAACCCAAUUUUAUUUUUGCUCUUUGGUUUUUAUUUCUGUUAAUAAUAAAUAAUUCAUCUAGCCUCUGGUUAGAUGUGGUUUUAUGUUUUAAUUAGUGUUUGUGCCAAGUGAAACCUUUAGGAUAGCUUACAGUGAUAGUUGUGUUGAUUCCGCUGAAAAUCAAAAACUUUUACGCUUAGUAAAUUAGUUUUAUUUUUUUUACAGAAACGUGCUUUUGAUAUGAUUCUGUUUUGCUAUGAAUUGGUACGUAAAUUGCUCAGGUUGUCCUAAUUUGGAUGGAUUUUUGGAGUUACAGAAGUAUUCGAGAGUUAUAUAUUACCACAGAAUGUUCUGUUUUUGACAGAUUCUGUUUUUCGCGUGUUGUUUACUUAUUUUGAAGAAUCUAUGGGUAGUAUCGGGGGAUAUGAACCAUGAAAAAGUUGGAAUACAGUAGAUAUUACACCAAUAUAAAUAAAGAAUGAGUUUGCAAUAGUACCUUAAAGUGGUGAUUUAUUUUCUUAUACUAACGGAGCUCAUGAGAUUUUUUGUUGAGUUUUGUGUUGUGAAGUUUUCAAGUUUUGGAUAAGGAUUUGAUGGACUAUGGAAUAAGGAGUGGCAACAGCCUAAGCUUGGGGAUGCCCAAGGCACCCCAAGGUAAUAUUGAAGGACAACCAAAAGCCUAAGCUUGGGGAUGCCCCUGAAGGCAUCCCCUCUUUCGUCUUCGUCCAUCAGUAACUUUACUUGAGGCUAUAUUCCACAUGAUAUGUGUUAUCCUUGGAGCGUCUUGUAUGAUUUGAGUCUUUGCUUUUUAGUUUACCACAAUCAUCCUUGUUGUACACACCUUUUGGGAGAGACACACAUGAAUCGUGUUUUAUUAGAAUACUCUACGUGCUUCACUUAUAUCUUUUGAGCUAGGCAAUAUUGCUCUAGUACUUCACUUAUAUCUUUUUAGAGCACAGCGGUGGCUUUAUUUCAUAAAAAUUAUUGAACUCUCAUGCUUCACUUACAUUAUUUUGAGAGUCGUUUAGAACAACAUGGUAAUUUGCUUAGGUUAUAAAACUAGUCCUAAUAUGAUGGGCAUCCAAGAGGGAUAUAAUAAAAACUUUCAUAUGAAGUGGAUUAAAUACUAUGAGAAGUUUGAUUCUUUAUGAUUGUUUUGAGAUAUGAAGAUGGUGAUAGUAGAGUCAUGCUAGUGGAGUAAUUUUGAAUUUGAGAAAUACUUGUGUUGAGGUUUGUGAGUCCCGUAGCAUGCACGUAUGGUGAACCGUUGUGUGACAAAUUUGAAGCAUGAAGUAUCUCUUUGAUUGUCAUCCUUCGUGUGGAGGUCGGGAUCGCGCGAUGGCUAACUCCUACCAACCCUUCCCCUAGGAGCAUGCGCGUAGUGCUUGGUUUUGAUGACUUAUAGAUUUUUGCAAUAAGUAUGCGAGUUCUUUAUGACUAAUGUUGAGUCCAUGGAUUAUACACACUCUCACCCUUUCACCAUUGCUAGCCUCUCUUGUGCCGCGCAACUUUCGCCGGUACCAUACACCCACCAUAUAUCUUCCUCAAAACAGCCACCAUACCUAUCUAUUAUGGCCUUUCCAUAGCCAUUCCGAGAUAUAUUGCCAUGCAACUUUCCACUGUUCCGUUUAUCAUGACACGCUUCAUCAUUGUCAUAUUGCUUUGCAUGAUCAUGUAGUCGACAUCGUAUUUGUGACAAAGCCACCUUUCAUAAUUCUUUCAUACAUGUCACUCUUGAUUCAUUGCACAUCCCGGUACACCGCCGGAGGCAUUCAUAUAGAGUCAUAUUUUGUUCUAAGUAUUGAGUUGUAAUUUUUCGAGUUGUAAAAGUGGUUUCGUGGCUUCCCUGGAUGUUUUCAGGGUAUAUAAGAGUAUAUAUAGGCGAAGGAGCUAGGUCAGGAGCCAGUGGGGACGUGCAAGUGGGGACGUCGGCGGACGGCCGCUGGCCGGCUGUCGGGCAGUGCGGCGCUGUAACCUGGUGAAGUGACUGUGGGCGUUGGUGAAGCAGCCCGCGGGAACGUCAGCGGGUGGCCGCUGGCCGGCUGUCGGCCGGGGCAGCACCGCAACCUGGUGAAGUGAUGGUGGGGUCAUGGCAGCCAGAUCGAGAAGGGCAGCGCGAGGAGGAGGGGAAGGAAGGUGCGACCGCACAGGCGUGGAGGAGGAGUGGGCGGAGGUCGUGCGGAGCAGUUUUUUAGGAGAAGGGAUUGGGCACGAUUAGUGGUCGAUGAUUGGUUCUCAACGUGGACGAAUCGGUAGGAAGGGUUAGUUGAUCGGUGGACUGGUGACUUGCUAGCGUUAAACACAGGAAGACCGUGAACCAUUAGAUCAUGUGAUUAGGCGACUGAGAUGAUUUGGAUCUGCUCCCUCUCAUAUUUUUAUAGGAGUAGCGGAUUUUUUAAGGAACUUAUAGUAGUAGAUAGAUAGUAGAUGAUGGUUUGUGCAAUUUUCUUUUUUUAGGUGAUUUUGAGGAGUUUACUUUGCUACCGGCGCUAGUGACGAUCCUUUUUGAGGGCUAGUGAUGAUCCAACCCCCUUAGGGUGUGUUUGGUUUGAGAACGAAGUGAAAUGGAAUGUAAUGGUUCCAUUUCACUAGAAUGGGUCGGUUUCGUCUUUGUGUUUGGUAGAGGUAAUUCAAAGGAAUGGAACGGUUCCAUCUUGAUGUUUGGUAGGGGUAAUUCGAAGGAAUGGAAUUUGUUCAUCUUUCCACUUGUUUUCUUGUGAUUGAACUUUAGCAUCAAACAUAAACAAGACACAAUUGACAUACACACCGCCCUCUUAGCCAUCAGCAAUACUUAGCCGCAAAAACUCAUCAUUUCUGUCAUCUGUACACAUAACAUCAAAUUCAGCGAGGAUAAUGCAGGUCGCGAGCAGUAGCAAUAGCAGCACGACACACAACAACAAUAGCAGCAAGUGCAUUACUUGCGUCAGGUGUUCAAGAACGAGCUUUUGCUACAUUCCGGUAUGGGAGUUGACGAUGCUCAGUCUUCCAACUCUGCAAACGAGAGCGUCCAAAGCAAAGAUAAAGACGAGGAGAGCAGACCGGCUACGGGGACGAUGACUGGCAGCAAGUUGAAAGGAAAGGCAACCAACGCGACUACCAGAGAUGGCCGCCACCGUCGCUGGACCUUGUCGGAUUCGACGAGAAGGGGAUGGGACGGUCACGACCGGGUCGUCGCCGCCAGCGUCAGCUGCGAGUGUGCUGGCGGUGAGGCUGGGAGCACGUUGGGAAUCGAUCCGCCGCCGCCGCUCGCCUCGGGCGCCGCCUCCCGGUGCCUGCCAGAUGCAAGGGAGAGACGAGGGAAGGAGAUAAGCGGGCGUUGAGAGUCACGAGAGCGAGCGGUUCCCUGUCGUCCGAGGAACGACUCGGUUACGGAUCUGGGCCGAAUAUUCCUUUUUUGGGAACGAGUGGAUUCCGUUCUGCCUGCGUACCGAACACAAGAAUGAGGCCCAAUGACGGAUUGGACCCAUUCCAUUCCACUCGGUGACGUGUACCAAACACACCCUUAUUCUUCACGGCAGGCCGGGCUGAACAGCCCGUGUUCAGCCCAACACAUGUUCCACUAGCCCGCACACGCAACUCCCGGUCCCGGUCAAUCCCCACCACUCGUUUUCCCUCCUCACGCCCCGUUUAUUCCAUCUCCCCCCUACGCACCUCUUGCCACCGCCGCAGCACAUCCCCGAAAGCUAGGUUUUUAUCACUCCACCUAUCAUCAUCGCCUCGGCGGCCGCACAACCCACCCUCCCCCUCGAAGCCCCGAUCUCCUUCACUUCUCCUCUCCGUGCCAGAUCGUUGUUUAUGAGGUAUGAAUGGACUCAAUCGCCGCCUUACUGGAUCUCCGCCUUUCCUUGUUUGAUGGCUGAUGGAUCCGCGGAGCUUCGUAGGAUUGCCUGGAUCGGAGGGAUGGACUCUUCGUCCUGUUUAGCGUGCUAGUAUUAGUAGGUUGUGCUUGGUGGCGAUAGUUCAUGAUUUUCGCGCUCUUGGAUGCGCCAAUCGAUUCUGGGAGUGCGAACAACGCUGUUAGCGUGACAUUCCAGUAUUCCACACUUGGUUUUGAUCAGAUCCAACUGAUUUUGCGCGGUUAGGUUCCAUCUGGCAUUUUUUGUUUAUUAAUCCGUGCAAGGUAAGUGUUUCCCUGCUUAUUAAGAAACGUGCACGGGAGUUUUCUUUCCGACGUUUAGGGUUUCUUGAUUUUCCUAGUUAAGGGAUUUGAUGAUCUUUUGAUGUUGUGAAACGUUGGAUGAAGUUGCUAUGCUCUUAUCAGUUCUUUAGGUUCCUCGAUUCCUUGGUGCACAGUAAUUGGUUUGCCACUAUUAUUAUCUGAGAUGAAUAUUUUUUCAGGUUUUUUUGGACACAGGUGAUUGUCUCCAUGUUACUUGCUACUUUUUUUGAGUGGUGCUUGUUGCUUUUUUGGGCCUUGGAUUAAUUGAAGCAAGGUUGUUAACAUUCGUUACAUGAAUUCUUAUUUUGACAAUUCUUACUCGUCUCUCUCUCGAUAAAUAUUUAUUUGGUCCCCCCUUUCUACAACUCCGAGUUUGUAUAUGCAGUGUCAAUAUUUCUUUGGCGAGCAUAUGAAUUUUCAUAUCAACUGCUUAUUUCAUAAUGUUAACUGUUGUGGUUUAAUUAUAACAACAUGGGACUUUAUUGGUGAAAACCUGUAUUUUUUUUGAUCUAUUGUAUUUCAUCGUGAUCUUUUUAUUGACUAGUAUGCUAAAUCUGCUCAUCUUAGUUAUGACGAAUGAGUUUCUGAAUUUUGUUGCUUUGUCUAUCUUUAUUAUAGCAAAGAGUCCUGGAUUGGUGAAAGCUUCUUGCCUUUGCUUGACCUGUAUAUUUCAAGUAGACGCUCCAUAGUUGGUAAGCAAUAUUUGCUAAAUUAUGUACCUAAGCCAACUGAAGGUCGACAUCUAUACCUAAUAAUAAUAAUAAUAUUGAAGGGAGGAUUCUUUCUUCCCUCAAUCUUUCGUCCGUCACCCCGCCUUUCAUACAUCGCAAAUUUUCGUCCACCACCCCAACGUGCCUUCCGUAUGUUGCUGGUUACAUCCGCGUUAAUGGGCCUGCUUCCCCGCGCUGCUUUGCUAAUGAGCCUGCCUAUCAGCACUGCCUCCAUUUGAGCAGCUUUCCCCAGGCCAAGGCCCAUACAGAGCAGCAAUACUAUCCUAUAAUCAGCUAAAAAUAGGCAGCUGUGGGAAUUGAACUAGCGACCUGGAGUGUUAAAUUCUUACCCGCUAACCAUCUGAGCCAGCUGAAUUUUGUGAGAACUGUACGAACGUCCCUUACUUUGUAUUGAUCAAGUGGUGUUUUUUGAAUGUCACCCUACAACCAAAAGAGGCUCUCCUAACUUGCUGCUGCCAUGCUUAACUGCUCGCACUGCUCUUGAUUGCCUUCUGAUAAGCUGCUGCUUGUGUGCUAGAUGAAUGGAUAGCAGGGAAUCAUAUUGAAUUGGAAAAUAUUGAGAACAUAUGGGUUUGGUUGAAAACUUUUAAAAAAGACACCAGAAGAGUAUGUGUCAGAGAAACAUCACCUGUUUUAACUCUUGAAACAGGCUUCCCCCCGCUUUAUAUAUAUGAACGCCCCGCCAAGGGCCGAACAGAUACAAGGUGAUGAGAGAAACCUCUUACAAAGCAGAUGGAAGAUAAAACAAAAAAAAUACAGCUGGAUAACAUAUUAACGCACACACCCAGUUGUCACCGGGGAAGGCUGCCUACCGUGUACUCUGAGCUGUGGAGUGUUGAUCCUGCCUGCAGACAACAAGGAUCUAGAGCGGAAACAACCUUGUCACGUUUAAAUGAUAGGGUGCCACUGAGACUGCCCCACACCAACGCCUAAGAUCUUUGAGAACCUGUUUUUAACAACUAGCCUCCUUUGUUUUUUAGCAAAGACUAUAAUACACUGUCGUUUUAUCUACAGUUAUAUGAGUUUGUUACCUCUGUGUUUUAUCGAAGAUUAAAUGCGAGUAUUUUAUGCGUUGUUGACUUCGUUGAAGAUUUUAACAAAAUUUCUAUGAAAUUAGUAUAGGUGUCCUGAUAAAGUUUGCCAGUAGAAUAAUGUGUAUAUCUUUAUUACCCUGUUGCAACGCACGGGCAUAUGUGCUAGUGUAAAAUUAUGUUAGCAAGCCAAUUGCCAAGUGUGGAAUCAAACCAAGUGAAGGACAACUGUUGUUGGCUUGCCGACAAUUUACCUGCCAACCAAGCAGCCUCAGAUAUCUUUGUACGAAUUGGUAUGUUAGAUCUAGGCAUUUUAGGGGUGAUUGACGAAGUAGGAAGUAAGGGCACGUUCCUUGAUUUUGUCAAGGUUAACUCUGCCACAGCGAAGCUUAGGUAGUGUGUAUGACUAAGCAAGUUGGCAAAACACUGACUCACACAUCGGGAUAUGCACAACUGUGGGAAGGAUCAAUGCCUAAAAGCUUCUGGCGUGCCUACAGAUAGCCAUGGCAAGGCAAAAUGUGGAACGAACCAAAUAUCCCUUGAGUAAAAGUCCUGUGGUUGUACUUUAAUUUACAACAUUUUGUAUCUCUGCUCUUUGUGAUCUUUUUGUUCAACAAGUAGAAACCAAUCAGGCAGAAUAGUGUAUCUGUAGGCCACUAUUUUCAUUCGCCGAGAAGAAGUUUCUAGCUAUUUUAUUUCCAUAUCAUUUUUUCCUGGUAUGCUCUAAUUUGUGUUAAUUCAUUGCAGCUCGAAGGAGAAGCCCACCCUCGGGUAAUACUCCUGUGUUUACUCACACCCUUGUUUCAUUCUUCUUUCAUCGUCGAUGCUGAGAUCAUAUUAGUUAAUGUAUUGUUGAUUUGUGAUGCAACCGGACAUGUGUCUGCCCAGCUAUUCAUAUGUGUCUAAUAAAUUCAUUUCACUGAUACAUUUUGUCUGCAUGUUAUGUAUUUCUGACUUUUCAGUACGGCAUGCCUUGCAACAAAAGGUGGCAUCCUUUUUUAUUUUUUUGGCCGGAGUGCUUUGGCCUCAAACCCUUCUUUUUCUAACUGGGUUUGUCCUAAUCAACAUUUCAUGCGACACUUGUACAAAUUGGUGUUCACAAUAUCAUAGUGGUUGUUUGCAUUUGUCUUGAUAUCUGUAUAGUGUUGUUCCAACUAUGCACACUAACAUAAGAAACUUUCUUCCUGUUGAAUGAUAUUUGCUUUACAUAGUUAUCUUAUGAUAAUAUGAUUCUGAUUUACUUCCUAUCUGUUAUUGCCGGCAAAUUCUUUGUUGGGGAUCUUGUGUGUACCAUUAUAAUUUUUUUAUGUACUGCAGAGGCCAGCGGAUUAAGACCCGCAAGCGGAAUAUCGCAGCUCCUUUGGACCCUUCGUCGUUCUCUGAUGCAAUUGUCCAGAUUUAUCUGGAUAAUGCUGGAGACCUGGUUAGCCACUGUUUAACUUACUGAAUUUCACCUGUUGUAAUGCUUGUAAAUUGUAAGCGUCUGCAUUUGGGAAAUAUUGUCGAACAUCAAAAUGUUACUUCCUCGUGAGAUAUAUGCAGUUAGCAUUUUUCUAAACAUAGGGACAUCUCAGGAUUACUUCUAUUUGCAAUAGGUAGUUUUAGAAAAUCUACCUUGUGAGUUUUGCCUCGUAAAUUAGCUAAGGACUUAGUGCUUAUCAAUUGAAAAUGCAAUCGAUCAGUGCUUCUCUCUUUGACAACUUAUUUCAUUAAAUAUGGUCAACUUCCAGCUAUGUUUUAAAGGCGUCCCUAAGGCGACGCCUAGGCGACGCCUAGGCGUCGAAGCGCUCCCCCUCCGCUUUGGAAAAUCGACCGCUUUGGGCGCCUAGGCGUCCAAAGCGCCCGCCUAGGCGUCGCCUAGGCGCCAAAGCGCCCCCCCUCCCUAAGGCGGUAAGGCGUCGCCUUAAAAACAUAGACUUCCAGUUCAGUCAAUGCAACAGUUUUGUUUACAUAUCAUAGAUUUGUGCGAGGUACUUCCAGUUCAGUCAAUGCAACAGUUUUGUUUACAUAUCAUAGAUUUGUGCGAGGUAAAGGAAGAGUUGCAUAGUGAAUAAAAGCGGGGGUCCUUGUUGAAGAUUAGGCUGAUUAGCUGGACUAGGGCAUUGCUUUUUUCAUGUUAGUUAACAUCUACUACCUCCGUCCCAUAAUAUAAGAACGUUUUUGACACUACACUAGUGUAAAAAACGUUCUUAUAUUAUGGGACGGAGGGAGUAAUAUGUAUCUAUGACUAAUGUUACAAAUCUGGAAACACGCCUUUGCCUUCUAUUUUAUUUUUCUACCCUGAGCAGUUAAUAUGAAUAAAGGUGAUGUCUUGCAGGAACUUGUUGCCAAAAGUAUAGAGUCAUCAGAUCUCAACUUCUCACGUUACGGUGACACUUUCUUUGAGGUAUGCAUGGUCCAGUUUCUAUAUUGAACAUUUUUCAUAUAUGCCUCGUUUGCAUAUGGUCAUGCCUUUCUCCCAGUAUCAGCAUUUAUGGAUCGCUUAAUUGAGCUACACUGAUUAUCUUUGUUUUUACAGUUUAUAUUGCAAGAGUCUUAAGAUUGUUUGAAAGUUUCCUUUUCUGAAUUUUAUGCUCGUUUACAGUUGGCUUGUGUAAGAUUUGGAACUCCUUUUAUGAAAUUGCAAUCUUCAUGCUAACAUUUUCCGAAUAUGCAUGUCAAACUUUAAAUUAAAUGGCUUUGAAUUCUGUCUAGUUAAAUUUUUAAUUGUCUUUAGUGUGCAAUUCACUAUGUUCAAUUUUUUAAACAUACAUUUAAUUUACAAAAGAAUCGAUUAUUAUAUGUGAAGCUAAAGGUUCGACACGAGUACUCUUUCCUUAUCUGCAUGCUAGAAGAUUGGUAGAUGGUGGAUCAAGUUAUUGCUUGCUGUUUUUGCUGUUCUCUUUCUCAUUUUGCAAUCUGAGAUUUCUACUUCUGAUUUCCUCUUAUUCAUUUUCUGUUACCCAUUUUUAUAUGCUCAAACUAACUCAUGUUUCAGCAUUAACUCUUGCAACUGGCAUACCUAUAAUAAGUAGCCCCCCUCCAUGCAAAUCAGAAAGGUUAAUGUUUGAGUGAAUGUAUGAAUGCAGGUUGUUUUCAUUGGUGUGCGUACUCAGCCUGGUACGAUUAAACCCGAAGAAGAGGGAGAGCGCCACCCCUAUUCUCUCAUUGACUGUGCAGCACAACGUGAAGCAAUAUUACCUUAUGUCCUCUUUAUUCAGAAAACACUGCGCAGGAGGCCUUUCUUAAUAAAGAGUCUUGAAAAUGUUAUGCGAAAAUUUCUCCAGUCUUUGGAGUUCUUUGAAGAAAAUGAGAGACAAAAACUUGCCAUUUUCACGGCACUUGCAUUUUCUCAGAAAUUAUCAGGUCUGCCACCUGAAACUGUCUUUCAGCCAUUGCUUAAGGACAAUCUUGUUGCCAAAGGGAUAGUGCUUUCAUUCAUUACUGAGUUCUUCAAGGAAUAUCUGAAGGAAAAUAGUUUGGAUGAUCUGAUUGCACUUUUAAAGAAAGGCAAAAUGGAGGACAAUUUACUUGAAUUUUUUCCAUCAGGAAAGAGAACCUCUGAGGCUUUGUCUGAGCAUUUCACGUGAGUUUUUAGACGCUGUUUGUGUUGAUUCAAUUUCUUCAUGUUCUCAUUUGCACGAGAGUGUAGUUUUGUUGUUUAUUUUGUUACCGGCUGAUCUUUUUACCUUUUUACAUCAGCAAAGAAGGUUUGACUAGCCUUGUUGAGUACAAUAGCAAGAAAAUGUUUGAAGUUAAGCUCAAGGAGAUAAAGUCAACUCUGACCACUAUGAUCAAUGAAGAAGCUGAAAUAUCUGAAGUAACUGAGGUUGUCAAGCAACAGGUUAAAGAUGCUAAAUUUCCUGAUAUAGAGGUUGUUCGCAUGCUGUGGGAUGUGCUGAUGGAGGCUGUUCAGUGGUCUGGAAAGAACCAGCAGCAAAAUUCUAAUUCAGCACUUAGGCAGGUAAGAUCUGUGUUGGAAUUAUGUUUUUCUCUUGAAAGUGCUCAUAAGUCCUAGGGAAGAAGUAAAUCUCAAGUAACGACAUAAUAAACUUUCCUACACCAGGAUACUGGAUUCAGUUUGCUUUCAGCGUUGCACAAUGCUACUUACCUCACAUCCAAACAAUGCUGUUGUACUCCAUUGGUCUUGUCCCAUGUGCUAUAGAUUUUUUUUGCUUGUACAUGUCCUUACGAAACGGUAAAUUUGGUCUGUCAAGUUGCAUAGAAGUUGAAAUUAUAAGACAUGUCAUGGAUUUUUGUUGCUGUUGAUAGGCUUCUAAGUUUCUUGCAUUGAGUGAGGGCUGAUUAUUUUGUUGCUUUGGAAGUUGGUAGAGUGAAUUUGAGCAUUCCAUUCUUGUGAAAGCUAUAACAAGUGUGGCCUGUCAUGGGAUAAUAAGCUUAGGGCAUCUGUAGCUAGUUAGUUAGGCAUGUAGUCCCUCUAAACAAAUGUAAGUUGUUUUAAAUCAUUCGAGGGAGUAACUACUAGUGAUAUUAUUUUGAAAGGGAUUCAUCUUAUUUGUUGUGUUGUCCAUUUGCAUUUGCAGGUGAAUGCUUGGGCUGGUCUUAUGAAUGCAUUUUGCACAAGUGGAAAGCUAGAACUGGAACUCAUAUACAAGGUCCAGACACAAUGUUAUGAGGAUGCUAAGUUGAUGAAGCUGUUCCCUGAAAUUAUAAGAUCACUGUAUGAUCAAGAUGUCCUAGCUGAAGAUACCAUACUUCUUUGGUUCCGCAAGGGUUCAAACCAAAAAGGAAGGUAACUAGUUACGGAGAAGCCAUCUGUUAGAAAUAUUGAUAGCAUUUAAUCUUGAUGAAGCUCCUAGUAACUGUAGUUAAUCAUUCGGCAGGCAAUCUUUCGUGAAAGCUCUGGAGCCUUUCGUCAAAUGGCUUGAGGAGGCAGAGGAGGAAGAAUAAAGAGGCACGGUUGUUGCUUUAAAAUGAGUAUUUCCUUAUACCCCAUGUUUGCGGAGACGGUGGUCAUCCUUUUGCUGCUUAUUACUGAACAAACAUUUUAUAUUCAGAUGUGAGCAUUGCUGUCAUCUGCUAUCAUUUUCGACAUUAUUGUACCAGGAUUUGGAAGGAUCGUUACCUACUUUGUGUUGUGUAUUAGUUGUUACAUGGAUAUUUAUGCAGAGUGCACGUUUAAG